AAAAACUUAAUUAAAAUUAAACUAAAACAGCAGGGACAAUCCGAAAAUAAAACAAUAGCAAUAGAAGGACCAAUAACCAAUACGCGAAGACAGCUAGGGGCUAAAACCAGUAAAAUACCAGAUCCUAAAAUGCAGUGCUCAAGUGCGGAUCCAUUUGUAAACAAGUGUAAAUUACAAGGCCAAAUUAAAAGAGUAAAUAAGACGAAUGGAAUGUAAUUGACUGCGCAUACGAAAGGGGGAGGGUCUGGCGAGUAAAUAUCCCCUCACCGCGAAAACACGCGGAUCCCAGGGGCACUCGGGCCGGAUCCAAUCGGGCAUAAACACACGGCACCAUUUUGGAGCCAUUGGAACGGGCCCAAACGGUGCCGUUUUUGGUUCUAUAAAAGCCUCAAACAAGGCCACAUUCGGCCGAUUCAAGAACCCCAGCCCCGUUUUGCUUCUCCAACCGACCUAUAACCCUCCUUCUCAGGCACCGAUUCGUCUCCCUAAACGGCGAUCGGUACCUUCAUGCCUUGAAGGACAUUUCUUAGCCUCAUGACUCCAUUUUGACUCCGAUAUCGACGAAACCAAAAGAAGUCUAUGGCAUAUUCGCAAGGUAUUUUCUUAUCCUUAUGCUUUUAUACCCUUUUUUGUGACGAUGAUGGAUUUGAAUCAAUGCUAAAUAACAGGAAGAAGGAAGAAAAAAAGAAGAAAGGUAUAUAAAAACGAGAGCCAAAAUCACCUCUCUGUUUUCUGAUCGAUCCUUGUUAUCUCUUUGCUUGUACACUAUGCUUUUUUUUGUAUUUUUUCUGUGAACCCCCAUACAAUAUCAAAUCAUCGGCUUUAUAGCCGAAUGUUCAAAAAAAGGAAAUAAAGAAUACAAUUUUGUUCUUUUUUCAUAUUGGCCACUAUUACUGUUGUCGUUUUGUCCAUUUUUUUGCAGGUACAACUGCGUGGCGUGUACGAGGGCGUGUGCUGGCGUACGAGGGCUGUGGCGUGGCCGCUGGAGGGUACGGAGGCCAGGGCUGCCGAAACGCUGGAAGUUGUACGGUGCUGGACCUAGGGUUUCAACUUUCGAAGCUGAAAUUUGGGCCAUCUGGGCCAUUUCAGGAUUGGACCAUAUUGUAAAAUGAGUUUAAAAUUUGGGCUUCGAUUUGUAUUUGGAUUAAUUGGGUAUUCUAUUAGGCUAAAACUGGGUUUGGGUCUGAUAGGGUUAUUUAAUGGACUGAGGUUUAUUUAUUUAUUGUAUAUUUGGAUUUCUAGUGGGUCUAGGUAAAUUUGGCCCACUACAAGUGACUAAAAUGUAGUCUAAGGCAAACAAAAGUGAUUAUUUUUGUUUACCCAUUAAUUUGAAAAAUCACAAAUUAAUUCUCAUGUCAUUUUCAUAUUUAGUGAGAAAACCACGUUCAUUUCCUAAUGUUUUCCAUUUCUUUAACUCUAUCAUUUCUAUCCAUAAAUGUUCAUUUGAUUUAACAUAUAAUUAAGUUAUGGUUUCCAUGAGCUUGCAGAGAGAUCAAUUGAACAUGCGUGAUUAGGACUCAAACGAUUUAUAAUUAAGUAUAAUAUCUCUCACUCGAACCGGUCACUAAACCCAAAGUCACAGGGCAUUACCAACAUUAUCGGAACCAUUUUUUUACACACGUUGGCACCACUCAUACUUUAAGGUGAACAGAUAAAGUAAAAAUACGAAUAGUCACCGUGAACAGUUACGUGGCAAACUAUCAUGCAGACUGUCCUAUAGCAGGCUAAACAGUGGACUGUCCUACAAACACCUAUUUUACGGAAUGUCCCGCAAACACCUAUAUGGUGGACUGUCCCACGAAACUUAUAAUUCGAAACAUAACAAAAAUCGAGUCCAUUUUAUUUACAUACAUCAAGAGAGUCCAAGGUAACCACCUUUAAAUUUUAACAUACUUGUUUACAAAAUAAACAACCGUCUAUUUACAUGCCACUUAAAUUUGAUCAAACAAAGUCAAAAGUCUAUCGCAACUUUGGGCAGAUAGUUUGAACUUCUUGCUGAUCUGAUAAACACGUUCUAAACGUUCAAAAUCUACAAGAUAAAAGCAAUUGAGGCGUAAGUAUUAAGAAUACUUAGUAAGAUUAUACAAAUUCAAUAAUUAACCUAUCUCACAUAAUAAUUAUGUGUUAAUUUAAUAUGAGAACAUAAUUUGCCUAUCAACCAACACAAUUUGUCAACAAAGUAAGCGCGUAUACUUCAUCAACAUACAAUAUAUCAAGUACACAACAUGAUAUGUUAACACUUAGGGCUGUAAAUGAAUCGAACUUGAAUGAACAAACAUCUAUUCAUGUUCAUUUGUUUAUUUUUAAGCUUAUUCGUGUUCAGUUUGUGUUUAUUAAGAAUUUUAAUUUUCUAUUCAUGUUCGUUUAUUUAAAAUUAUAUGUGUUCAUGUUCACGAACAUUGUUAAUAAAUAAUAAACAAACAAUAGAUAAAUACAUAUACACACAUAUAUUGUUUAGAUAUAAAAAAGUCAAAUAUAAAUAUUAAUAAUUAUAUUAUAAAUGAAAAAAUACAGAGCAAGAUAAUUUUAUUAAUAUAUACUAAUGUAACAAUAAAUAAGUUUUAAGAUAAUGUUAUUAAUAUAUAAUAAUAGAAUUUUAUAAGAAAAUAUCAUUAAUAAAUAAACGAGCCAAUAAACAAGCUUUUAAAUGAGUUUGUUCGUGAACAUAAACGAACCAAACACACCUCUGUUCAUGUUCGUUCGUUUAUUAAACGAACAUGAAAAUUUUAUUCAUACUCAUUUAUUUAGCUUAAUAAACGAACAUAAUUGAACGUUAUACGAAAGGGUUACGAAUAGUUCAUCAAACAUUCUGUUCAUUUAUACCCCUAUUAACGCUUUUCAAAUAUGAUUCGUUCUCAUUCCUUUCACUGGUGCUAACUUCAAAUUUAAUAGUCAAGUCUUCCAUUACUCAUUCUUUAAUUCACCAAUUUCACAUCUCACAUGUUUUAUAUUACUCGAAGAAACAUCGUAAAAGAACUCAAAAUACAGAUAUCUUUCGCAUCAAAUAACUCCCCAUUCUUCUUUUAUGUGUAUAAACCUGUUCAUACCAGAGAUUAAAUUAUUUAGACUCUGAUAUAAUUAGUUGAAUACAUAUAAAAGGAGAACUGAGAAAGGGAAUUUUUUUCAUAACAGACUUUUUCAUAAUUUUUUAUUGUAAGUAUUACAAAUAAACGGGCUAAUAGCAGAAAAACAUUAUAUAUAGAUGGUAUUGAAUGCUUAUUUUCUACUCACAUUUUCCUUUCUCUCACUAGUUACCAAGAUCACCACCAAACACUAUAACCUCAACUACCAAAUCACUCUCCCAAUUUUCUUUCUCUUCUUUGAAAGAUAUCAUUCUCAUUCCACCCGCAUUCUACUUUUCACCCUUCACCAAUAUUUCAUAUUUAUUAUAAUAGGUUGUGCAGACGGUUGGUAAAGAUGCUGCUUAUAGUCGUCUCCUCUUACCUUCUAUAGAUCAACUCUAUAAAAUGUAAUUACCCCUAAAGAAGAUAAGAACAAAUGACUAAAACAAAGAUUUUUACCAGCAAUCUCCACAACCUCUUACAACAAACACGAAGCAUUGAUGAAAGGUGAAAAGUUAAAUGUGGAGUGGAAUCAGAGUGACGUCCUUCAAAGAAGAGGAAAAUAAAUGCAUGGGAGGGUGAUUAGGGAGUGAAGGUUGCAGAGUUUGGCGAUCUUAGUAGCCACUUUGAGAAUGAAGAAUAUGAGUAGAAAAGAAGCUUGCAUGACAAUCUAUAUAUAAUGUUGUUCUGCAAUUAACUUCUUUAUUUAUAAUACUUAAUAUGAAAAAUUAUGAAAAAAAAAAAGCCCUUUCUAAGUUUUUUUAUAUGUAUCGACCUAUUUAUAUAUAGAUUGUCAUGCAUGCUUAUUUUCUACUCACAUCGCCCAUUUUCUCACUGGCUACUAAGAUCACCACCAAACACUAUAACCUCAACUACCAAAUCACCCUCCCAUUUAUCUCCCUCUUCUUUGAAGGACAUCACUCUAAUUCCACCCCACAUUCUACUUUUCACCUUUCACAAAUGUUACCUUGAAAAUCUUAAAAUUCAGAUUCUAAACUGAAAACAAUUGUCAAAUUUAGAAGUUAAUUUGAACAAAAAAUCAUUCUAAGUCUCAAUAUAGGAAAAAUUGUCAAGUUCAUGUCCAAAUAGUGAUCUAACUAACAUAUUUAAAGGAACCAGUAAAUUUAAGACAAUAAUACACUUGAAUUGAAUUUCCUAAAUUGUACAAAAUUAUCUCCGCUUAGAUUUCACACCCGAAAAUUAAGUGAGAGUGGAAUAGAUCCCAUUGAUUUAACCAUAUCAAUGAUUUGAUUUGCCAUUAUAUCUUUUAGUUUUGAACCCCCAAAGAAAUAAACACACAUGAAAGAAACUCGAAACACUGUGCUCAAAAGUUUCUCGUUGCAAUGGAACUGUUGCCACAGCUUCUGGUUUAAAACCAUAGAAUAACUUUGGUUAGUGAAACCAGAGAGGUUUUGAUGUGAGGUUUUUAGCCUUUAAAAAAAAAACAAAAACCAUCUACAGAAUUAGUGUCUGCUUCAUAACUAAAAAUCACCAAAGAAUCAUCUUUGAGUCCUCUGCACAAGGAACUUUUAAUUCAAGAAAGGGGCUUUACCACUUGUGCUCUUUUUUUUACUCCCAUUUCAAUACAAAUCCCAGACUUCCAGUCUAACAUUCAUUCACAUUAUUCACAAUCAAACUUGGUGCUUUAUCACUUUGACCUAAUAGUCAUUGAAACAAACACAAAAUACAUUAUGUCAACUGAUAAGUCGAAAAGUUACCUGAUUUAUUUUUCUGUUGUUCUUCAGACGUCUUCAAAGUGUGCAAGCACUACCUUAUAUCCAUGGAGUGAACCCCACUCCUCCAAACCUCGGUUUCCUUAUCUUCGAUUGCCCUUAACUUUAUCAACCUUUCAUUCAACUCCUGCAAUGAAAACCCACCCUCCUUCUCCGGCGGCCGUAAUUCCUUCAACCUCUGCCCUAACUCUGCAUAACCAUACAUCCUAACAAACUCUGUCUUCAUUGCAGUCUCUUCUCCUUUAGCCGUACCUUUCAUCUCCCUCCCGAAAACCGAGGUCAGUAGUUCACUCGAAGACCACUCUGUCAGCUGAAGGCUUCAACUUUAAAUGAUUCUUAAAUGCCGAUGAAGACAUUAACUUAUUUACUUUUUAAAUCAUUUGCUUGUUUUUCCGAAAAAUUGUAGUGAGUUUCUCUGCGUUAUGACUUAACCAGUUUUAUGGAUAAUACGUGCAAAAUACUAAAAUAACUCAAAUAUCGAAACCAUGCCACAAUCCGUAUAAAAAUUAUUACAGUCCCGAAUAAUAAUAAUAAUAAUAAUAAUAUUUAUAAUAUUAAAUUAAAAAUUCGAGACGUGCCAAAUCCGAUCCUAGGCUCAAGUACCAAUAAUUGGGUGAUUAAUAGUGUUCAUCAAUUUUUUGUUACUCCACUUUCAAUAGACAAACUUUUUUUUCAUUUUUAAUUCAAACUCGAGUACAAAUAAUCAUGUUUAAAAUCAAGUUUAGUUUGAAACUCCUUACAACUUAAGCUUAACUCAGCUCAAUUACACCCUAAGGAUAAAAUUCAAGACUAGAAGAAUGGCAAAACAGCAAAACAAUUGAAUUACAUAUUUGUUCAAAGCUGGUUCACAUAUAUAGCUAGCUUGAACCAAAAUUAUGGCUGCAUUAUUUAUAAUAAUAAAAAGAGUUACAUAGUUUUGGUACCUUCAAAUAUUUUCAAAUGAAUGUUUAGUGUUAUAGCAUUGAGCAGGAUAUGAUCAGUACAUUCUUUAACACCAUAACAUGGAACCUACAAGCUUUUUUUUUUUAAGAAUACUCCAGAAAAAUGCAAAGCUUACUAAACUGAACUUUGUACAUAAAAGUCCCUAUAUGAGUAUGCAUUUCCAAAAAGGAACAUACGCUUUUAACUGGAGAAAUUCAUCUAUGAAAGCGAAGUUUGAUUGAUCCUAACUCGAUAGGCUGAUCUCAUGGCUUGAGAAGGGUAAGAUUGAUCACUGGAUUCCCUGCCUAUUUCGAGGGUGACAAGCGGCGCCAAGCGGAUGAAGCAAAACCCCAAGAAACAAGGUAGAAAAUAAAUGCGAUAUAUGCGCCGGUAAAUGCAAACACUAUACUUGUGAACAUUACGCCAGUGACUUCGUUAGAGAAGAAGUCAAAUAAAAGGUACCCGUUGAUCACUAUCACCAGUACAGCCACGAGCCAUGCAAUUGUCUGCAAAGGAGACAGGAAAGUUAAAGGAAUAUGUUGGUGCAUCAUUGAAAAUGGUGGCAUGAUAUAAUAUGAUGGAAACCGAAUGAUAGGCAUCGUUUUUGGUUUUAAAAGAGGUUAAGGCUUGUAAAUCAACAAUAACAAUAAUCGAUAUACUAUAGAAGUAAAAAUACCCACUAAUUGACAUAGCUUCAAUGUUGGUAUGCCAAUGGUUUCACUGUAUUUCCUUUUCUACAUUACCCUAAAUCUCUAGGAAAGCAGAAAAGACCGAGUACAAGCCCAAAUCUUAGACAUGGGCUCAUUGGAAGCUCGAGAAUAGGGAAAUCAACCAGCCAAAAUAUUGGAAAAUCGAUGAAAUCGAAGAUCAUGCAUGGACCGUAUAAACUAAGCAUAAAUCAAUAGUGUGCAAAAUUGGGUACAGUCACCUAGUUCAUAUGACUAAUAUAUAAAAACCAGAUACACACUCGUGCACACACAAAAACAAAUUUUCGAAGUUCUAACUACUAUCAUGUUGCCAUACCAAUAUCAGUGAAAUGACUUAACAUUUUUAUCAAUAAACAAGCAAUAAGCUAUUCUUAAAUACGAGCUGAUUAUGACCUCUAGAUCGGAAAGACAAACACGAAGCCCAUCGCACAGUCGAUGCAAGUACAAAAGCAAAAUCACUUAAGGCAGCAUGUGGAGACAAAUGCAUUCAAAUCAAACUCAUCGUUUAGUGUGUACAUUAGAAUUCCGAUAUGCAAGAUAUGUUAAUAUAUCAGCAAGGCACAAAACAUGGAGAUUAGCAGCUUACCUUGAGCACAGAGCCAAUCUUGAAAGUACCCAUGAUUUGCUCCUUAGAAACCAAACAAAGUAGUGGGAUAAGAGCAAAAGGGAUUUGAAUCGAUUGAAGCACAUUAAGCCAUUCAUUUAAGACAUCUAGCGCUGCCUCAGAAGUAUCGAAAACAAGAGCAACUAUCAUAGUAGGAACAAUAGCAAAACUCCUAGUGAUCAAUGCUCUUAGCCAUUUUUUCAACUUCAAGUUCAAGAACCCUCCCAUGAUAAACUGCCCAGCAUAAGUGCCGGUAAUGGUGCUACUUUGACCGGCUGCUAACAACCCGAUAGCCCAAAUGUAUAAAAUCGGGAACAACCCGCCUCCAUAUUUGUCUUGAAGAUACUGCCCUGCAUUCACAAGACCAAUAGUACUGGCGACUUCGGUGCCAUAAAAUGCCUUGGCAAAGACAGUAGUGACAAACAGAUUGAUUAUAAACGAAAUUAAAAGCGCAGCAGCAGAUUCUAUCGAGUAAUAAUUGAGAGCUUCUUGAACUCGGCCUUUCUUCGUGUGAUCGAUUUCUCGUGAUUGGACAAGAGCAGAGUGCAAGAACACAUUGUGAGGCAUAAUAAUGCAACCCACAACUCCCACAGCUUGUUUGAUUGUUUUGGAGCUGAGUUUUGGAAUCAAAACACCUGCAAAUACACCAAAACCAUUUAUAAUCAAUCAAAUCCAAUACAGAACAUGAAAGAAAUUGCUACAGCCAACAAUGGAGGUCAGUGCCUUACCAAGAAGAAGCUCAGUGCCACUGGGCUUUGUUUCACCAAACAUCCAAGCAAAUGAGACUGCCAUAGUUGCAAUAAGCACUGCAAAAAAUGCUUCCAGCUUCCUUACUCCAUAGUUUUCCAGGAACAAGAAGAUGAAACUGUAACAAAGCAAAGAAAACUCAUUUUCACCAUUUGCUCAGAUAAACAGAGAUCAUAAAUCAAAAAAAUAAAUAAAUAAAGUUUAGGGAACACAAAAUCCCAGAAAAUUUAUUAAUAAAAAAGAACAAAGAUACUGACCAAUCACAAGCUGUAAUAAUAACACCAGCCCAUAAAGGUAUGGCACCAUUACUCAAAAUCUUAAUAGCAAUAGCACUUCCAAUAACUUCUUGUAUAUCAGCUCCAAUUAAAGCCAACUCCGCCAUUACCCACAAAACCAUCCUAGCCCAAGUCGGAUACUCUUCCCUACAAAGCUCAGCCAAGUGUCUCCCCGUCGCUACACCAAGUCUAGCCGACAACAACUGAACCAACAAACCAAUAACCGUAGCCCACAUCAACAACCACAGCAAAGAGUAACCGGCUAUAGCUCCGGCUUGAAGAUCCCCUUCCAAAUUCCCAGGAUCCAAAAACGCUAUCGACAUUAAAAAACCGGGUCCGGUGAAAAGCCAUAGCUUUUUCCAAGAAAAAGGUGGGGUACCCAACAAGCCUUCAUCCUCCGGUUCGUCGAUUCCGACGAUGUGAACCUUUUCGCCUGACUCGUACGCUACAUCUUGGUCCGAUUCCUCGUCGGACAAUAGUGGAACCUGGUUGUCUUCCGGUGGCAUGUUCCCGGUCCGGUUAGCGUCCACCGAUGAUUUGCUUUUGGAUUUAGUUUUUACCUACGAAAACAAGGAAAAAUUGCCAGUCUUUCCCACUCUCUUUGCUCAAUGUUCCUAUCUUUGCUGUUUUAUCUUAUCCGUGGCCUUUUUCAUUUCCAUUUUUUUAUAGUAAUUUAUAGCAAAUUUUCCGAAUUUUUCGCCACGUGAUGGUGCUCCGGCACGUGUGAACUUUGUAUUGGGAUUAUUUGAGAGUUACUAAUGGGAUUAUUUUGAGUUUUUUCUUAGAAUCUAGAGUCAAUUUUGAGUUCAACCAACAUAUAGGUUAAAAUUUGUUAUGGGUCCUUAUACUUUUCACAGAUUUGGAAUUUAGUUCUUAUACUUUUAUUUUCCAAAAUUUAGUCUUUUUACUUCUCAUUUUUUAAAAUUUAAAUCUAACUAUUAACACCUUUAAAUUUAUUUUGUUAAAUUAGUUUGUGCAACAUUUUGAAAUAUUUUUUUUUCACUUGAUUACAAUGUAACUAAAAAUAAUAUUAUAAUCAACUUAGAUUUAACAAAAUAAUUAUAACAAUAUAAAUAAUUAAACCUAAAAUUUAAAACCUAAAAAUAGAAAAAUUGAAUUCCUAAAAAUAAAAAUGCACAAACUAAAUUGAUUGGGAAAAUCACUGGGAAUGAUAGCAUAUAAUAAUAAUAAUAAUAAUUCAGAACUUCAUUCUCUUUGGUAUAUAUAUAUAUAUUUCUUAUAUUUCUAAAAAGUAUUAACAAAAUAUAAAAGAAUUAACUAAGCUCCUAUAUUAAAUUCACACUUAAUUAAGUUCCUGUUGUUAGUUAAAAUAAUUUGUUAAGCCUCUUCGUUAAUAGUUUUCAUACAUUGAUUGUUAAAAUAAGUUGAUGGACCAAUCAGAUGGUGACACAUGGUAACCCAUGAUUUAAUUUAAUCUUUUUUUGGGGGAAAAUAUUAGAUUAAAUCAAAAGCUACUACGUGUCACUGUCUGAUUAGUCUAUCAAUUUAUUUUGAUGGUAAAUAUAGUCAAUAACAAAAACUGUUAACGAAGGGACUUAAUUAGUUAUUUUAGUUAAUAACAGAGAUUCAAUUGGGUGUGAAUUUAAUACAAUGACUUAAUUGAAUUUUUUGCAUUUUCUUAAGGGCUUUCUUGACAUAUAAACCUAUUUUCUUUACCAUCUUAUUUAUCAGUCAAAUAAAAAACUAAAAAAAAAAAAAGACUUUUAUGAACAAAUACAAGUGGUGAUAUUUAUGAUAACUAGAUAAUGUUAUGACAGACUAUCUAUUAGAUUCUAAUAAAAUAUCAUGGAACACUACUUUUUACUUGUAUAACUCCAAAUUCUUAUUCAAUUUUGUCAAAUAUUGUUCAAUUUAAACAUUCAUGCCGUCAUAAAAUAUAUAUAUUCAAUUUCCUAUCAAUUUUCUUAGCUUCAUUGGUAUCGAUAUUAUUGUCAAUGCAAGAAAACGUGGGUUCAAGUACGCUAAAAUACAGUAUCCUCUUAUUUAAGGGUUAGAGAGGGGCUAUGGAUAGAGGGGCUAUAGAUAGUUCCAGACAUUAUAUAAAAAAACUCAUAUAUGAUAAGAACCUAUAACGAGAUUAAUAUUCGAAAGAAAUCAAUUUCUGAACAAUUUAAAUUUCUCACCGUUGUAUUUGUUCUUUUUUAUAUAAUGCCUAGAGCUAUCCAUAGCCUUUUCCCAACCCACAAAUAGGAGGAUAAUAUGCUUCAGCAUACUCGAACUCAUAUCCUCCUACAUUGAUAAUAAUAUACAUGCCAAUUGAGCUAAGAUUCAAUCGACAUAUUUAUUAAAUAGUUAACAUUUCUAUAUCAUGUCGAAAUUAUAAGAUUAAAAGUUAUUGAUUGGACUAUCAGAUUUUUAUUGAAGUGGGAUUUGAGUACAAGGAGGAGAGUGAUAAUUUCCCCAUUUUACAAUGUUAUCUAAAAGCUAGAAGGUAAAAACAAAAAAAAAUGUGGCAAAACGACGUGGCAUUAAUAAAAUUAUAAAGAGAUGGCGGCUAGUAAAGGGUAACGAGUAGAGGGACGAAAGCACGACGAAUGACGAGUGGAGAUACCGCCAAGUGUGUGGCGACGACAAUCGAGCGUAGGUUUGGCCGUGGAUGGCUUGUGGUUGCACGAGUUUUCGUCAUGCUUAUUGGCAACCUAUUUUAAAUUUCCUUUUUCAACAUUUCGCUACCAACUUUUUUUUUAUCCUAUGGCAUAAUUAGAAAAUAAAAAUAAGAUGCAUAAAUAAUAAGUUUAGCCCUUAACUUUUAACUCUUUUAUCAAUUUGGUCUUAAUUAUUUUUCUAUCCUUUGGCCUUCCCCUUUUUAUAUAAAUUAUUGACACUAUUAUACAUAAUUUUAAUACAUUAGAUGAAAAUACUAAUGAGGUUACCGAUCAUACGAUUAAAUGUGUUGUAAUCGAAAAUUCAAGUUUAUAGUUAUUUAAAAAAUCCCUGAUUUUAGUACAAAAUGUAUUACUUGUUGAUCGUAAUGUGUCGAUACCGGAAUAAUUUUAACCGAUUGAUAUAUUUUUUUUGUUUUUUUACGGAAAAAAGAAUAAUGAUUAAAUGAUAUAAAUGUGAUGGUUAUGGUAGGUUUUUGUCUGUUCUUUAUUAAUUUCCUUUAAAUGUUCAGAGGUCCAUUUUUCAUAUAUUUUGAUAUGGAUUGAUAGAAAAAAAAAAGUUCACUCAAACACUAGUCGUUUGUGGAAUUUGAAGACUACACGUUUUUACAACUUAUAAUGUCAAAUCUUCAUUAAUAAUAUCUUCUUUCUUUUCGUGUUUAUACACGAUUAAAACUUAAACUUGAGAUAUUCGAAGUCUUCAAUACCUUCAAUCAAUAACUUAAUAAAAUAAAUUUAUUAAUGUUAAUAAUUGGACUAAAUUUUAAAAUUUUAAAAAUAGAGAUUAAAUUUUAAAAUUAGGAAAAGUAUUGGGAGUGAUGGUAUAUUUUAAAAUAAUAAUAAAAAUUUAUUAAUUUAUAAGAGUUGUGAAUAUGCAUAAUUAAAAUUUAUAAAAAAUAAUAUUAUUUUUUGGUGAAAAAAUUCCCCAAGUCUCUAUAUUUGUAGUUACUUUAUUUUUAUAUCGAGGAAUUUAAUUUCUCUAUUAUGGAAAUAAUUUUCAAAUUUAGAAUUUAAUUUGGUUGAAAAAAAAUUCAGAUCCUAAAAUGAGAAUAUUUGUCAAAUUCGGACCUUUAAAGAGUUAUUUAACCCUUUUUGAAAGUAACUACUGAAAAUUACGAAAACGUCAAAGUCGUGGUUUUUGAAAAUUACCAAAAUUGUUGAGAGUUUUUCUUUGGAUUAUCCACAAUGUCGACAUAGUUUUUCGUCGUAUAUUGCAAAAUGUCGACAUGAAGAUUCCAACAAAAAAUGGGAUUUUUUUUUACUGUGUUUUCUUUUUCUAAAAGUAAAUUGCUUAGAGUUCACAGAUUGACUACGUAAUAAAACAAUAGUUGUAAAUUAUGGUUUAUAUUUUAAAAUUAUUAUUAAACCGUGAAUUGAGUCUCACCUUGAUUAAUAUGGAUGUUAUUGUCAAUAUAAGAGGACGUGAAUUCGAGUACACUAAAACACAUAGGUUGGAGAGGAGUUAUACGUAAUUUUAGGUAUUAUAUAAAAAAAACAGAUAUGGUUGCAUACUUAUUUCAUGAACAAUUUAGAUUUGAUAUGUUAAAAAAAAUCCAAAGUAUUCAAUGUGGAUUAAUUUGUAACUUUGUGUGUAGUUAAUACAUGAAUAACUUGAAUUUGAUAUGUUAAAUAAAAAGAAAUAGUCAUUUGGAUUUUACCGUGACUUCCUUUUAUUUUUUAACAUGUUGUAUCAAGAUAUCCAUAUGAUAGGUAUAUACAUAUUUACAGUUUAAUCCACGCGUUUGUAAAUAUGCUUCACUCCAUAUUUGAAUUGAGAUUUAAUGCCUAAUUUGACAACAAAAUUAAUAUAAGAACUUGAUUAAUAUAAUUAUGAUAUUUUAAAAAAACUCAAUAAGAACAUUUUGAAAUUUAGAGAUCAUUUGAGAAUAUGGAUGAGUUUGGGAGUUUUAUUGCAAUUAACCCGAUAAUAUUUAAAUAAAAUAAGGGAUAAAUACCAAAAUUAUACAUAAAUUUUGAUACAAUUUACAAAAUUAUACAUCAAACUUUAAUUUUGGUUCAUUUUUCACAUUCACUAACUCCAUUAUUUAUAUAAAAUAAUUUUUCGUCAAAUCAUGUGUAAAUUGCUAACAUUGCUUUUUAUUAAGUUAAAAAACAGACAAACAAAUUUAAAUUAUUUUCACCUAGAUUAAAAAAAAUAAACACACUCAGAAUAAGUUAUUUUCUAAUAAAUAUUUUUUUAAUCUAAGUUGAAAUAAUUUAAAUUAAAAUAGUGAAAAUUAUGCCCAAUUAAUAAAAUUUAAAAAUUAAAUUAAAAUUAAACUUUAUACAAAUAUACUAAAUUAAAAUUAAUAUAACCAUUUUAAAUUAUAUCAAAAUUCAUAUAUUUAUUCAAUAAAUAAACAUGCACAUUUCUUUUAUUGUAAUAGGAAUAUCACAUGACAAAGAUUGCUCUGUUUGGUCGUGGUAGUUGGUUGCCCAAAUUUCAAGAAAUGGGUAACGUUUGAAUUUAAAAAACAAAAUACUUGUUUAAAUAAAUAUAAUAAACAUUAAAGAAAGAAAGAAAUUAUUAAAAUAAUGAUGUUCACAAUGAGAAGCAAAAGCUAAAAAAAAUAAAAAAAAAUAAAUUUAUUAACUAAAUUUAAUUGAAAAAUAUACAAAAAAAAAAUAGAAACACCCAAAAAUCUAAAAUAACAAUUGUUAUAUUUUCUCAUUCUUUUAAAAUUAACUCUCAAUGUCACAAAAAAAUUCCAAAAAAAGAGACUAAAUUACAUAAUAUAUAAAUGUUGAGGAUUAAUUUAAAAAAAAUCAAAACUAAUUUGACAUAAUUUAUAAAUGUUGAAGACUAAAAUUGGUAUUAUACUAAUUUUAAAAGUUAUCAAAAAAGAAAAUUAAAUAAUUGGAUAACCAAUUUUAUAAUUUUUAAUAAUUUAACAACUAAAAUUUUUUAUUAAUAAUUAAAUACCUAUCAAUAUAAUUUACUCUUAAGAUUUGAAGUAUCCUUGUGGGUUAAUCAAAAGAUGAUAAAAGAAAAGAGAAAAGGCCUGGUGGACCUAUGAUAAACUAAAGAGAAAAAAUGGGAAAGAUGGCAGGAGUGGUGACCAUCCAUGGUGCUUGUCUCCAUCACAUUCCUCCUCGAGGCUGCUUAUCAUUUUUCAUUUUCUUUUUUUCCGUAUCCACGUGAUAACAUUCAUCUUUUCAAAACUUUAACAGUUUUAUUGUACGAAGAAUUCAAUUCAAAAUGUUAAUAAUUAUAAUUAUUUUUUAAAAAAUAGAUUACUAAAAUUUUAUAAAUUUAAACAUAAUUAUAAAAGAAUAUUAAUGAUAUUAAAAAUAAAUAAUAAAAAUCGAUUUAACCUUAGCUCGAUUAAUAUAGACAUUGUUAUCAAUACAAAAAAAUAUGAGUUUGAAUACACUAAAACGCAUUAUACUCUUAUUUAUGCGUUGGAGUGAAUUAAUCACCUAUUUAAAUAAAACCUUAGUAUAAUUGAAAUUUCCUUUUGAAUUUUAGGGACUGUUAAAAAACAAAUAACCCUGAAUCUAUAUGUAUAUAUCGUUUUCAAAUAAUGCAGGCAUUGCAUGGAUGGAUGGUGCUGGCAGCAGCUUUAUUGUUUAGGUGGUACCAUUUCUUUGGCAUAAUAAUAAAUAAUAGUGCAUGUCGGGUUUGGCCAAGAGACACACGCAGCCUGGAAAAGGAAAUUUAUCAAUAUUCCACCCAUGUUCUUUCUUAUACAUAUAUUCCGUUCAUAUUUGUUUUCUAUGAUUAUUAGAACAAUGUUUGGGGCCAUUACAACUGAUUAUGAGUUGGUUCGUUCAGUUCGAAGAUUCGUUCGAAAAGUGAAAAAAUUUGAAUAAAAAUAUAUGUUUAAAAAAUAGAUUUUGGACAAAAAUAGACCUGUUUUAAAAAUGAGUUGGGCUUCGGGUAAGUUUCUUUGGUCCGAGCUUGAGCCCGGCCCAAAUUUACAAAAAAAAUAUUGUUGUUUUUCCACUAUUUUGUCACUAUUUUACUAUUAUAUUACUAUUAUUUUAUUAUUAUUAUUUGAAUAUUAUAUAAAUAUUAUUUUAUUGUUAAUUUUGUUAUUAUUUGCUUGUUAAGUUGCAACUAUCUUAGUGUUAUUUAAGUAUAAAGACUUUUUUAAUUUAUUUUUUAUUUUUUGGGAAAUAUUUAUUUUAAUGUUUUUAGUGUAUUUGAUGUAUUAUUAUUUUUUAAAUUUAUUUUUAUAUAAAAAUAAUAUAAAAAACUUUAAUGCGGGUGGCCAAGCCGGCUUGGGUUUUAAUUUCUAUUUGCGUCGAGUUUGAAUAAAAUUUUAGGCCCAUUUUCAGGUCCGGCCCAGACCUAUCAAACAAGCCUAAAAUUUAAUUAUGACCCGACCCGACACAUAAUCAUCUCUAGGCAUCACUUAGCAUGGUAAAAUGGAUUUUGAAUUUAGUGUUUUUUUUUUAAUUGAAAAGUAGAUGUAAGGGAGCUUAAUUAUAGUAAUUGUUUGUAUCACUCUUAUUACUAUUAGAUUUAUCUAUGGAUCAAGUCAAGUCAUGGCCCGAUUUCAAAAAAUUCAAGUCUAAAUUUAUGUUGGGCUUGAUUUGUCCCGUUCAAAAAGUUUGUUUCAUUAUUUAAAGUUAUUAUAACUUUAAAAUAUUUUUAUAUUAAUAUUUUAUAUUUUUUAUAAUUAAAUCUAAAAUUUAAAAAUAUUUUAUUAUUUAAAUUGAAUUUGCGUUGAGUCGGGUCAGUUUAAGAUUUAAAAUAUCCUAUUCAAACAUAGCCUAAGUCAAGCUGGGCCUAUCAAGCUUCUCAACCCAUGAAUAGGUUUACUUACUAGUUACUAUAUGAAAUUAUCAUUUUAUCUUUAUGUAAAUAUAUAUGUGUGUAAGUAUUAAAAGAGUAAAAAUGUGUUGUAGAAAAAAAAGAUUAAAUUAUGAUAUUGGUUCUUAUAUUAUGCGUAAGAUGUAGAUUUAAUUUUUAUAUUUUAACUUAGUCAUUUUUAAUUAUUGUACUUUUCAAUUUUUAAAAUUUCAUUCAUGACCAAAUGGUAGUUGUUAAAUUUAUUAGAUUAAGUUUUGUUAUUUCCAAAAUCUGAUGUCGUAAACAUAUUAUUACAUGUGUAAUGCUAUGCCAACUUACUAUCUUCACAUAUUACUAAAAAAAAAAUAACUAAUGGAUUUAACGGUUGUCGUUGCAUCAAGACUGAAAUUUCGAAAUUUGAAAAGUACAAGAACUAAGAAUGAUCCACUUGAAGAAUAUAGAUUAAAUUUACAACUUUACUCAUUACAAUAUAAUACAAUACAAGUUCAAACUCACUCACCUACACACGCUCACAUAGACAAAUCUGCAGAUUGAACUUUAAUAUCGGACAUGGAUGAACUCACUUCAGCUGAUUGGUCUACUGUUUAAUUUCCUUAAGUCUUUUUAAUCCUAAUUUUAAUAGCAAAAGUAAUUUUAUUUUUUAAAAAAGAAUAUUUGGUUUUGGGGUUUUGCAAUGAGAAAACAACUUUUUUUUUUAUAUUUCUCAAUGAAUUUAUCGGAGCUAGUUCAGUAAUUAAUCUUUUGCAUUCUCUAGGCCUAUUAAGGAGGUAUAUGCGGUAUAUGCUAGUCACGAGUUUUAAAGUUGCUCUAUACCCAAAGUAAGAACCAAACUCUCAACCACUAGUUAAAGUAAAACGAGUUUAACUAAUCAAUUAAUACAACUAUUAGAGCUAUUAGGCUGGGAAAAUUUUGAACUUCAUUUUUUAUAAAUUUACUUUGCCAUGGAUGCAGUCAAAAAUCACUUAAUAAAAAAAAAUCUUGCUGAAAAUAAAUUUCUUCAACAUGGAAAAUUUUAAAAUGAAAAAAAAAAGGCAAUAAUUAAUGGGAUUAUGGAGCAAAAAGUUUUCUAACUUUGCCAAUAAUCCUUCUGCAUACUGGGCACAUCUUAUUUUCCUCAUCAUAAAUCCUGCAAAACAUACAUACAUACACACAUACAUAUAUACAUUCAUAGAUGCAUAUAUAUAUAUGAUGUAUGUAUAUCACUUUAUUAGAUUUCUAAAGCCAUAAUUGAGUAAUGAAAAAAAGGGGUUUAAAAAAUAAAUUGUUUUAAAGGGCACCUUAGAGCACAUUCAUAGCAUGUAGCACAAUGUCCACAUGGAACAAAGAAACAAUUCCUUUGUUCAUCAUAGCAAAUCACACAAAUCCUUGCAUCAUAUAAAUCCUCACCACUACUACAACUUCCUGUUUCUAUGUCGUCUUCGCACGUACCGUACGUUAUCGAUUCUGUCUUUUCGGGCCAUAAACGAUCCGUUUCAGAGACAGUCACCGAUCUAAUAACCUCUAAAUUACCACUUUCAUUAUCGAGCUCAGUUAUGUACUUAAGUAUCAUCAAAACUACCAACACCAUCACAGCUGCAAUAACAUAAAAGAAUUUGAAUACAUGAAAAAGUUGAGAGAUUUUAGGUAAAAGUAUUAUGGAGGCCAUCGUAUUAAGAGUUGGAUAGCAUUUUAUCUCCUUUACUCAAAAAAUGGGUAAAUUAGUCUUUAUAUAUCAGAUUAAAGAGCAAAAUUUCAUCCAAUUCUACGGUUAAAAAUUGCCUUGGCUGACAGAAUAGCCAAACGAUUACACGUGAUGUGCCACGUAUACCUCAUUUUGACAUACGGAGACCUAUUUUUAAUAGUAGAAAUGAAUAAAAUUCUUAACAAGAUUAGUUUGUUCUUUGUUCUAAUGUACAGGGACUAACUUGCACAUGUUUUAAAUAGAGAAGACAAAAUACAAUCCAACUCUUACUACACGGGUCUCCAUGAUAUUUUUAUCGAUAUUUUACAAUCUUAUUAUUAAGAGAACUCACCUAAAAUUGCAAUAUAUGCUGCUAAACGUGCAAAGAAAUUAAGAGCAUCACACCAUUCAACUAGAUCUUCGUCCUGUGUGAUCGGUGUCAUCGAGUCAUACAUUGUUUUAAUCGUAAGAUUAUCGAAUCGAUCGAAAACUGGGGAUCGGGACUCACCUUGCUCGAUAAAGAUAUGGAUUGAGAGUUGUCAUGGUGGAGAUUGAGUUGACUCAUUGCAUUUAGAAUGGAGCACAUGGUUAUGGAUUUUUUUGCCUGUUGGCUACUUGUCUUUGUUCCUAUUAGUAUCUGUAGAUUAAAAACUUCGAAGCUUAGAAUUGAACAUAAAUUUAUGGAAGCUUUAGAGUUUUUGUUUAAUGUAAUGCAGCUUAAGAACUAUGAUUUGGUAGGUGUUGUUAAGGUUGAGCAAGAAAAAUUGAAAAUCGACCUAAUUUGAGGUGUUCGGACAAUUCAUGAAAUGUAAAUUUAAAAAAUGCAACUAUUUAAAAUUAAAUUGAAUUCUAUAUUCAUUUAAUAUAUAAUUAAUUUCAAUUUUUUAUGAUAUAAAAAUAAGUAUUUUAUAUUUAAAAUAGUGAAAAUAAUUAAAAAGUUACUAAAAAUUAUUAUUUUUUAGAAAUAUUUAUGAAAAAAGCUUAAAGUUAUAAAACAAAAUUUAUUUUGUCAAAAUAAAUUAGAACCCAAAAAAAUUUAAUAUGAAAAAAUCGAGAACCAAACCAGUAAAAUUGAAUUGUUAUGACAGUUCAGAAAAUCUAAAAAAACUCAAUCGAAUUGAACCAAUAUCAGCCUAGGUAUUCUCUGAAGGAAAAGAAAAAAAAAAGAAACUUUCAUUAUAAAAAGUUUUAAAAAGCAUCUUUAAAGUACGAUAAAUUACAGUCGAUGUCUUUUAACUAUGAUACAAAUACUAAACUAAUCUCUAAAUUUCAAAAUGUUCUAAUUGAGUUUUAAAAAUAUAUCGUAUCAAUAAGUUCGUUUUAUCAAGCUAGUCAUUAAAUGCUAGCUCAAAUAUAACGUAAAGCAUAUUUAAAACACAUGAAUCGAAUUGUAAACAUAUGUAUAUCUACUGCACUAAUAGCUCAAGUUUGACAAAAAUACUAAAUUUUAAAUAUUUUUCUUAAGUGAUAAAACACACCAAUCUAAGCUAUCUAUAUAGUAGGUAUAGACAUGUUUACAAUUCAAUCUACUUGUUUUAAAUAUACUUUACACCAGAUACAAGUUGACAUUUAAUAGCUAUAUAGUUGAUACGAUACUAAUAUUUCAAGAAAUUUAAAUUUAAGGACUAAUUUAAAAUUUGGGGUAUAGUUUGAAAACUUUCAGCUAAUUAACCCUUAAAAGUAUUAAAAGACCGAUACUUAAUAUUUCUAACAUUUCCAUAGAAUUCAAAAUGUUCCUUGAACAGGAAAAGAAAAAAAAAGAAGUGCAUGCUGCUGAUUGCUCAAUGAUGAAUCAUCAAUGAACAUAAAUAAAUAAAUAAAUAAAUGAAGUGGUCAAAAAUGGUGUAAAAAGCAUUAUCUCAUUGACAGAGAAAAUGUUGGUACGUUACCUCAAAAACACCAUUAAAACAGAGCUCAAAAACUCCAGCUUUUGCUCCUUUUUUUAGCAGAGGAUGUCUCCAAGCAAGUGAAAGAACAUAAUUUCAAUGUAAAAGAGUGAGGAAGAAACUGUGGGGAAAUUUACUAUAAAAAAGCACCUCCAUUUUCCAUAUUCAUCUAUAAAAGCCGGUACAAGUCCUGGAAGAAGAAGAAGAACAAUGGGACUGCGCUUUUCUUUGAUAACUGAUAUAUUUAGACAGUUAAAUUUAAUGAAUGAAAGAAUGGUAGUUGUUCAAAACCCAAGCUUAAGGGCAUAGCUACCACACCUUCUGAGAGAUCAUAGCUAUUAGCAGGUGACUGUACUACCAAGUCUUUUAAGCUUUGACCGGUAGGUUUUAGGGUUGAACUUUGAAUACCAAGACAUGAAUGGUAGAUUGAAGUUUUUACGUAUUUUUGAAUUGAAUUCAGGUGUUUGUUUUUUUUUUUUUUAUCAACUUGAAAAAUGCUUGUCAAUGAAUGUUAUUGUGUCCUUUGUGCAAUUUUCCCAUUGGCAAAAAAAUAAAAAGGGGCUUUUGAGUUAUUGGAAAAUAAAUGGAAUGGGAAGUUUGGAAAUUUUCUUUUGGUGUCCAACAAAAAUGUUAGAUGAGAAAGGAUUGUAAAGAUUAGGUAGCCAAUAAAUAGACUAAAUAAAUCUUAAUGAUUGUGACUUACAAUUAAGACAUUGAUUAUACCAAUAAUUAAUUCCCCAUGAGGAUUGAAAAGACCAAAGAAAAUUCUAAUUUUACUUUUAAGGUACAAACAAUCAUAAUUUCGGAAUGUUAUAACUGUUAAUAUGAAUAUAAAUUUGGGACAUAUCUAUAAACAUUUGCUUUAUUUGUUAUUGUUUUAAAUAUUGCAUGUUUAAAAAUUAUAAUUUCAAUCCGCAAAUAAAUUCAAAGUACAUGCAAAUAUUAAUCAUCAAAUAUCAGUUUUACAAACAAUGAAUUUGGCAAAUAACGAGUUUAUCUAGAUAUAGGUUCUGAAUAUAUCUAUUUUUUUUAACACAAUGUUUAAAAUUACUCAUAGCACCACCUCAACCUAUAAAUAGGAGGAUAAUACACUUUUAACGCACUCAAACUUACGUCCUCCUACAUUAAUAACAAUACCGAUACCAAUCGAAUUAAGACUCAAUCGACUCAACAAGCAAUUUAAAUAUUUUAAUGAAUAAUUUAAUUAAUUCAACUUCAAAUAAUAGCACCAGAAUUUAAUGCAAAGAAUAAAGGAAGACAAAAUUUAAAACAAAUUUACAAAUCCAAAAAUUGCAGAUAUCCAACUAACUGCCAUCCUAUUAUAAAGAUCAAUGAUUAGGUGCAAAAUUAUGCUAUACAUCAUUUGGUUGCUUACCUCACAAAGCAGAGACCCAUAGUUCACAAUCACAAAUUACAAAUUAGUACCAAAUUCAGUUAGGAAUCCCUAAUUCACGAAAUACUAAACCCUAAUCUAUAGUUACAGUUUUUCCCUUUUAAACACUACAACAAUGCAAAAUACCUAAUUUUAAGUGAUUAUUUAGGAGCUUGCAAAGAGCUAUCUUCCCCACACAAGGCUCCAAUUCAUUGAAUAGAGAGGGAAGUUUCUAGGUUUUCUUACAUUCUAAAGUCCAAGACGCAUAGAGUGUUGUUUGCGAAACAUGCUGCGAUCUUGUCACCUUCCUUGUUCCAACAGACUUCAAAUAUUCCACCGUUGCCAGUAUAUGUUUUUACGAUCUUCCCUUCCUUUAAGGACCAGACAUGCAUGGAUUUAUCAAGAGACCCACUGGCUAGAUACUCUCCGUUUGGGCUAAAUGCAACCGAGUAUACGGGAUCCCUAGGAGAAAAAACACAAUGCAUCUUGUGUUACUUACGGAACUGCCUAAAUCAUGCUUGAUUGAUUGCUCAUUUCACCAUCAACACGGCUAAAUAUUAAAGUAUAUUAGUACUGCAAGAAACAAAUAGAGAACAGAUUUGAGGACGAUACCUGUGUCCAUUCAAGCUGUAGAGAAGUUUCCCUUGUUCCACAUCCCAUAGCUUCACCGUGGAGUCAAAUGAUGCACUACAUAAAAGCAUAAAGAACAGAAUGUUAAUGAAAAACUUAAACCGAGUUUCAUAGCAGCUCCGGCAGCACAGUCUACAUGAAUUCCAGUUACUUAAAGGAGUAUUUGUCUUGGAACUGAAAUGGGAUUUACUUUUCACACCAAAAAGCACGAUAGUGAACAUAGAAUGUAUUAUACACAUGUUAUCCUUCUCUUUUUAUCACUGUUACAUCGCGUGAUGUGUACCCAACUAGUUUUUACCUUGCAAGAACUAACUGUUGGUUAGGAUUGUUUGUCCCCGGCCCAGUAGGACUCCAUCUGAUGGCAUAUAUCUCCUGCAGAACAGUUGUUCAUAUUUUCUUUCCCAAAAAUUAUGAAUAAAUGCACCCAUGCAUGUGCACAAAGAGAUUAUAUUGAAAAAGUUGAGAGCCAAAAAGUACCUUUGAAUGCUCCCUCAGAUCAUGAACAUACUUGUCCUGCUUCAUACACCAUAUCUGCAUCAAGACUUUCUAUUAGUUAAAACAAAAUUAAUGAAAAUUAAUUGCAGCAACAAAAGAAAAAUGGACACCAUCAGAAACAAAGGUAUAACAAUCCAAAAUGAAAAAAAAAUCAGACAGAAAUUUAUAUUUCAUUGUCGUGAAGGAUGUCUGCUAAGUAAUGAUAAAAAGAUAGAAUAUACAACCUUUGCAGUAAUAUCGUCAGAACAAGAGGCCAAUAGUGAACCAGUAGGAUCCCAUUUGACACAAUUUACUUCCCCCUGAAAAGCACAAAGUUCAAUAUAUGAAAAGCAGAGUAGAGAUAAAAUUUAAUUCAAAAGUUCUACUUAUCAAACUCAAACUCAAAAUCAAAAUCCAAAUCUAAAACAAAACAUUGUUUUUAGUUGCUAAUUAAAGCCCAUUACUGGAAAGUUAUUGAAGCCAUAAGGCUUGUUUCAUUGUUGUAAAAUGUUUCUUAGAAAAUGGUAUAGCAGAAAAAUGUAGAGAGAGGUAAAUGCAAAAUAUUUAACUCUUAAAACAUUCCCCUUUGAAGGUAACAAAAAUUUAAACACGAUAUAGAAGGAAAAGAAAAAAAAGUGAGCUGGGAAUAGAGAUGAAGUUAUGGGGGACAUUAUAGGCAGUAGAAGACAUGCAUAUCAUUCAGCCUACGAGUUUCAUCAAGAUCAGUAUUAGUUAAAAAAUAGAGGAGUCAAGGUUAGGCAUUUCCUGGUCAGUUUGAAUCUUAUUUGGAUCAAACAGGUAGCCCAUCAUAUUGAAUAAAAAUGAAAAAAUCCACUAAGAAAGUUAAUGAGAUUGUUUGACCAUUAAGACCGGAAACAAACCUGAUGCCCCGCAAAGGUUUUAAUAGGGCGAGUUUCUCCAAUCUUGCAAACAUAUAUCAUAUGGUCUGUUGAACUUGUUGCGAAUGAAACAUUGUUCCGCCAAUCAACAUCAAGGGUUGGACCUAAAAGGAAAAAAUGAAGAAACUCAGGACAAUGACUAUUAUGUAACUAAAAGCCAAAGAUUAAAGUUUAGUCUAAUGGUCCACCUGUAUGAAAUUCAAACUGCUGUUUCCAUUCCUCUGCCUUCACAUCCCACACAAUUGCCGUUUUAUCACAGCUUCCUGUUAGAAGAUAAUCACCCUUCUUGUUCCACUUCAGAGAAAAUAUAGGCCCUUUGUGUUUACUCAAAGUAGUCCUUAGAUCACCUAAACCAAGAAAGAAUUGAGUGACGGAAAGAAAAAGGGGUUGGGGGAGAUGAGGUUUAGAAUUCUCACAAUCAGUCCAAAAUAGUAAUGUAAUUAAAAAUAGCUAAAAGAGUAACAAGUUCAGUUAAAAACAAAAAUAAACCUCUUAUUUUAACUGGGUAACCAGCUAUUAAUUUAAUGAAAAGAUUGUUAUGAGCACCAAAAAACACAUGGAAAAACCAAGUUGGUAUGUCUGAACACAAUCUAAAAGUCUGGUUUAACAAAAUAGAUUCCUGGCCUUUAAUUUCAGGAUAUAGAAUGGCACAAAUAAAAUAACCCAUAAGGCCUUACCAGUUGUAUUCCAAAUUCUUGCUUGGCCAUCAUAUGAACCUGUUGCAAGUAAUGUCCCCUCACCCUGAAUACAGGCAGGAAAAAGGAAUCAUACUUUUUCCGUAUUGAAAAGAAUGACUAAUUUAUAGAAUUUCCAUUAAGUUCACUUACAGAACAAGAACAAUUAAAAAGACACUUUAAACAGCAAUCUAGAAUGACAACCAAAUGGGCAAGAAUUACAUACCGCAAUAGGACAAUUAAAAGUACAUACUUUAGAUAGAAUUGACUCCUUCUUACAGGAAAAGAAACCAUUGCAGAGCAAAAGCAUUUGCAUUCAAUCGUGGUCCUUAGGAACCAAACAUUCAUUAGAAAACAAACUGGCACAAUUACAUGGGUCAACUUCCAUUCUGCUUGAACAAACAAAGCCAUCUAAGGAAAUACAAACACCACCUUAGCUACAUCAACACCAGAAUGCCCAAAAAGAUGGCUGGCACUCCAAAUCCAUUGCUCAAAGAACUAAUUAUAUAUUACCAUAACAACUAAACUAAUCAGGUUCAUUAUAUGAUCUCAAGAAAACUGGAUCAAGUUUAACUGAAGAGGAUUACUCCCAAUCCAACCUGAUUACUUCAGCCAAGGAUUCUACGAAAACUAAAGCAGGAAGUGUAUCAUAAAAAAAAUUACCUACAGCUUAUUCUUGUAGCUUCGCCUAUGUGAUAUCUCUAGUCAUUUCUUUUAUUACAUUAAUGCUGAUUAAUUCUCCUGUCUAGUGUCUGUUCUAAACCAUAGCAUGUCAUAUAGAGUGGCAAACCAUAACAUCAAAUUAAAUGAAUGAAAGAAGAUAAAAGUGUUGGGCACGAUAGGUGAUCUAUACUAAAAGGAACCAAAAAUUAGUCAGAAAUUUAAGCCUCCAACAGUAACAGGACUCACAUUCCAAUCAAGUGUUGUCACAUCUUUGCUCUUCUCAUUUGUUCUUCCUUUUACAUGCUUCAGAACUAGAACAUUUAAAGGACUGUUUUUUCCACCAGAUUUGAAAAGCCCAUCAGAUAUUGUCCAAAUGCGAGCUGUUGAAUCUCCAGACCUAGAAAUUAAUGCAAUGAGAGUUAAGUGAAAAUGAUAAUGAAACAAAGAAACUUUGUGAAUGCAUAUACUGAUAAAUGACACUCCACUAUUCAGUAGCAGAGACUAAAACCCAGUGCUACACACUUAUCAAUUACUUGGAUGACAUGUAAACCAAUAGAAAUCAGAAAACAGCAAGAGACCUAGUCUUAUAUAAUGGAACUCUUAGCAUAGAGCAGCAUGAUCUCAGUUUGGUUUUCUGAAAGACCUCAAUCAGUGCCAAUAACAGCUUAAGUAGGCAUCUCUGCUAGACAAGGAGAACUUCAACUGUCCAGCCCUACAAUACAUUACAAACGACAAUACGCAUGACCACAAGUCCUAUAGUCACAUAACUGGAGAGUCCACAAAUUUCAUUUUUGUUUACAAACCACUUAGCCAAUGGGCAGGACUGUAAAAUGGUUUUGCUACCAACAGGGCUUAACUUGUGUCAUUCAAAUGGUUAGAACUUCUAAACUUUGCCAUUGAUCUAACACACAAGGUACAUCUCAUGAAGCAACAGAAAUCAGCAAGUUCUGACCAAAAAAGGGGGGGGGAUGACUGGAAAUCCAUAAAGAAGUGGAGAAAAUACACAUGUAAAAGACCAAACCAUCAAUAUAAGAGACAUCUCAUUACAGAAAAAUACUCACCCUGAUGCAAGAAGUGAACCAGUCGGGCUCCAGGCACACGCACAAACCUGCAAUAAUAAAUGCUCAGAGAGAGAGAGAGAGAGAGAGAAUAUAUGUUCACAUGUGCAAGUCCAUCUUGGUAAAUAAGAAGAUUCGAAAAGGCUCAAACCUCAGAGGUGUGCCCUUCCAAAAUUGUAACCUCAGAGCUAUGAAUUUCACAAGCAUCCUGAGAUGCUAGGGUCGACGUAGUAGCAAUAUCCAUAGGUUCCGGUCCUACAUAAUGCAAAAAUGCAAUAUAAAUGAAAAUGAAAGAUCCAGCACACUGGAUAAAAGAGCUAUUUUUGCAAAUCUAUAUGCAGACAAAUUUCAGGUGAAUUGUCAAUGUUCAUUUAAACAAAAGGUCAAGGCCAAGAGAAAAAAACUGAUAUCAAACUAGGAAAUAAUAUAAAAAGGAGUUAACUAACCUGCAAGAGUUCCAUUUUCUUCAUGCCUGGCAACAUCCUUGUCUUCUUGAUCCAAAACCAUAUCUCUAUAAGCAAGUUCCUCCGGUUGCUUUUCCCUCUCCUUAUUGCUUUCAGCCUUCUCCCUUUCCUUCUCGCGUUCCUUCUCCCUUUCCUUUUCACGUUCCUUCUCCUUUUCAGUUCUUUCUUUCUCUCUUAUUCGUCCACGCUCUCCUUCAUGCUCCCGCUCAACUUCUUUAUCUUUAUCUUUAUCCCUAUCUUUGUUUCUAUCCUUUUGGAUAUUCUUCCUUUUCUCUUUCACCAUUUGCCGCAAUUGGUUUACAUCCUUUGUUAUGAUAUCCAAUGGUUGCAAGAAUGAGAAAUCUUCAUCCAUUUCUGCAUCAUUCUGCAAACUCAAAACAAAUCAUGAUGAAUAUAUACAUAUACUCUUAGCUAUCACCUGAUUCCCCCCAUGCACCAGAAUAUUAUCAAUAAUAAUAACAAAGACAACAACGAUAAGCAUCCUAACAUUACUCAGGUUGGCUUCCAUCUCCAAGUACUGAAGUCCUUUUUGAACGAAUGUAAUAAGUGCACCAGGUGGAACCAAACUUCCAUCGAUAGUACAUUUAUUAAUCCCUGCUUCAUAUCCUAAAGUAAAUGCUGAAUGCGUAAAACCUGCAGGCAUUUGAUAAGCAGAAGAUGGUUCAUUCGAAUCUUGAGAAACAAUAACGUAUAACAAAGAAGUCCUCCCCUAGCUUUUCCCUAAGUAAACAAAAAAGACAAUUAAAAUUACCAAAAUUUGUUUCUUAAUUCAUUAGACUAUGUUUGCUAUGAAGAAAGUGGAGGGAAGAGAAAAGGCGAGGGAAAAAACGAAACUAAUUCAAGUCAAAUAAGUGUUUUCCUCCCACUUUGAGGAUGAUUUGUAUUGACACCCAAACAAAGUCUUAAAGUUGCCGCAUCUUACAAAGCAACGAAAGAUAACGUCUUUACAUUUAAUGAUCCAACAUACAAAAAGCUAGAACAUGCAAAACACAUUAGUAAAGGAACUUAACCACCCAUUUUCCUUCCCUCCUAUCUUCCUUCUCCCAAAGAAAAAGGAAAAAAAGAAACUAGUUUCCUUUCAAAUCUUUCUUUUCCUUCCCUCUUAUUUUCCUUCUACCCAAAAAAAGAGCAAAAAUGAAACUAGGUUCCUUUCAAACCUUUCUUUUCCUUCCUCUAAACCCAUUUUCAUUUCUUCCCUCCUAAAAGGAAAAAAAUAAACUAGUUUCCUUUCAAACCUUUCUUUUCCUUCCUCUAAUCCUACCAAACAGUGAUAAUUAAUAAACAAAAUCUGUGUAGUAAGUGUAUAUUUUCAAUUCAAUACCACCGGUAUGCAAAAGUUGAACCAGGAGAUGCCUGCCUCAAGCAGUGCAAUUAUUAUAAAAUAAGUGUAGAUACCUAAUGCCCUAGCCAGCGCAUUGGUAAUAAAAGCUACGAAAUUCAAAACCCUAACCACAAUAAUACUCAAUAUCAACCAUCCAUUUUUACGGAUCUAGAGCGAAAAUAUACUUCCGACAUUUACAGUGCCAAAAAUUAAUCCUAAAAUUACAUUUCAUACGCUCUAUUUUUUUUUCUUUCAUUUAAACAAACAAUGAAACAACUGCUUAAAUUACAAGUUAAAAAUUACAAAUACAGCAAAAAAAAAAAUCAACUGGACAGAAAAUUAAAACGAAAUUUUAAAAAAAUAAAACAAAGAAAGAAAAUAUUCAAAAAUAAAGAUCACUGUAAUGAGAGAUUACAAAAAGAAAAAAGGAAAAAAAAAUUGGAACUGCACCUGAUUCUUGAAGGUAACGGAAGACGAGGUAAUUCAAUUCGACGGAGGUGAUGGAGGUCAUAGUUACGAAAGCCGUCUAAUCUAACGGCUGAGAUUGAAAGCUCAAACUAUCAUUAGCUAUAAGCGAACGCCACAACGCCUGAGAGAGAGAAAAAAAGACGGAGAACGAGAAGAUGUAAUAAUAAGCUUUUUAUUUAGUUUUUGCAGAAAGACAGAGAUAAAAGAGGGACGGAGAGAGAAAAAAAAAACAGAAUAUUUAUUAUUUUCUAGCUUCCUUUUUUUUCAAAAUAUAAUUUUAAUUUUUGCUUUGUUUCAUUGGGCUGGGCCUAAUCCAUUUAGAUUUCGCAUCUCACUUAUGGAUUAAUCAAGGUAUAUUUAUUUAGGCCCGAUGUGAUUACGGCUCAAUUAGUCAAUCCAUGCUUAUUGUAUUAAAUUAGUCAUAAUGGUCCAUAAAAAUAGACUUCUCCAUGGAUAAAUGUCCCACCCGAAAAAUUAGAUAUAAAUUAUAGUAGUUAAAGGCAAUUUUGCUAAAAAUUAAUUUGACUAAAUUUUGAAAAUUGGAGGUCAAAGCGGAGUAAAAAAAAUUGGGGGUAGAAUUAAAUUAUAUAUUUUUACGAUAGUAAAAAUAUAAUUUCACCAUUUCAAUAGACUAUAUAUUUAUAAUUUUUAAAGGAUUAAAUCAAAUUUUUAUUAUUUUUUUGGGGUCCAAAGUGUAAUUUUACCAUUACAAAUUUAAAUUUUUAUAAAUUAUAAAGGCCUAAACGUAAUUUUUUUCAUUUUAGGGGGGUUGGGCCCUGCCAGUCCCCUUUGGCCCCGCCAUUAGGUCAAUGUGAUCUAAAAGAAAAGGAAUUAAGGUUAGAGUGACAAAAAGAGGUAAAUGUUAGGGUUAAAAUUAUCAUUAUGACUAUUUUAUACAAUUAUUAAAUUAUUUGUAAAUCUCUUAAACCCUUAAAUUGAAGGAUAAAGAAUUGAAGCAUGCUCAAACUCACAUUCUCUUGAUUGUUACAACAAUAAUGAUGUCAAUUGAUAUAAGAUUCGGUGAAUAAAUUUUAUAAUUUCAAAAUGAGGUGAAAAAAUUAAAUAAGUCACAAUCAAGUGUAGAAAUGUUCACGAAUAGGACCAAGUUGAAGUAUGAUUAUUAAAAAAUUUCGGGCCGAAGCUAAAUCGAAACAGCCUAAAAGAACUUAUAUUAUUAUUAUUUGAACAAUCUAAUUAUAGGUUAUCACACAUGUUCUUUUUGAUACAAAACUUAGAACUACCCAUAGCCCAUUCUGAACUCAUAAAUAAGAGGAUAAUGCGUUUCAAGAAUUCAAAUCCAUGUCCUCCUGCAUUGACAACAACUUUCAUACAAAUAAAUUAAAGACUCAAUCCACAAAAACUUAUAUUAUUAUUAUUUUAAAAUAAUUAAAAAUAUUUACAAUUUUAUUCAGGCGGAAUGCUUCAUGCACUGCAAGGCAUGCAUGCUGUUGUUCCGCUAAAUAAGAAGUUAGAGUUAAAUUAUUCAUUCAAUAAAUUAAUAAGAAUUUAGCUAAGCAUAUAUUAAUUUGUGUUAUAAAAAUAAAACCCAAUUAAUUUCACUUCACUGCAUUGAAUCCAAAGCAAUGUAUGAAACCUUGUUCUAUUCCUUGCUUUUAUCUCCAUUUCUCCUUUUAGCCAUCACCAAGCUCUUAAAACAUGCAAUAUUAACAAGCCACAUAAACCUUCCACCAAGCCCUUUGGCUCUCCCAAUUCUAGGCCAUCUCCAUCUCCUCAAACAACCCCUUCACCGAACCCUUUAUAAUCUCUCGAAAUGCCACGGCCCGAUCUUCUCUCUCCUAUUCGGUUCCCACCCUGUCGUCGUCCUAUCAUCUCCCUCCGCGGUCGAAGACUGUUUCGGCAAAAACGAUUUAGUUUUAGCCAACCGACCUCGUCUCGCAUUAGGCAAGUACGUUGGCUACAAUUCAACCGGUCUCGGCUUGUCACCCUAUGGUCCUCAUUGGCGCAACCUCCGCCGCCUCGUCACCCUCGACUUAUUCUCAUCGAGCAGCUUGAACGCUUCAACGGGCAUUCGGAGGGAUGAGGUAAAGCUCUCAUUACGGAAACUUUACCAAGUUUCGGCCUGUGGUAAUUUCAUCAAAGUAGAGAUGAAAUCGAUGUUCUCGGAGCUGGUUUUCAACAUCGUUAUGAGGUUGGUCGCGGGCAAACGUUACUACGGUGGCGGGGAUGAAGCGAGCGGGAUUGAAGAAGCGAAGGAGUUUCGAGAGUUGAUCGAAGAGCUUUGCGAAUUGGCGGUUUCAUCGUACCCGGGAGAUUUCUUGCCUGUUUUACAGUGGAUUGAUUAUAAUGGACACAUCAAGAGAUUAAAGAAAGCUGGCCGUAAAGCAGACAAGUUCCUUCAAGGUUUGGUCGAUGAACAUCGAAGUAACAAAGAUGCUUUCAAAAAGAAGAACACAAUGCUCUGUCAUUUGCUCACUUUGCAAGAAUCCGAACCUGAAUAUUACACCGAUGAAACCAUCAAAGCUCUCAUACUGGUUAGUGAAAACAAUCCAUAUAUAUAUGCUAAUAAAAUAUUAUAUACAUAUACACAAAAGGUUAAUUGCAUUAGACAUCUAAACUAUAGUUCGUUGGUCUCGAUUCUAAUUGAGUUCUCAAAGUUAGUCAAGUUAGUCAAAUCCUUCUUUCAGUCAUCCAUUAGCUAGCUUAGGUGUUAUGCCAUUUUUCAAAUCUUGUGUAGAGCAAGCAUAUUUAAUACACAUAGGUCAAACUAUAAAUACAUAUGUGCCUAUUGUACAAAUUGUUUGGACUUGACGGGUUAAAAAAAAAAUAGUUAACAUGUUAGAUCUAAGUGUAAGAUAAAAUUGGUACACAUUAUAAUUACAAAUUGAUUCACGUUAGAUUCAAACGAGCUAUAUGGUGUAAUUGGAAUUUUGUGGUUGGAGAAUCGAGAUAAAAUUAUAAAUUUUGGGAGGUCAAAGUUAGAAGUUUUGUGUUAAAAAGGCUUAAAUUGAAUUAUUAAUUUUUGAGAGGAGGCAAAAAUGAUUUUUUUUUUAAAUUUUAAUUAAGAGGCUAAAAGGACUUAAAUUAAAUUAUUAAUUUUUGAAAGAUAUCAAAAAUGUAAUUUUCUAUUUAACCAAGGGGUUAGAAAGGCUGAAGUUAAUGUAUUAAUUUUAUGGAGGAGUCGAAAAAUAUAUAUUUCCAUAUAAUCAAGGGGUCAAGGCUUUGCGUCCCUUGGGUCCUGCGAACUUAAAUUAAUGACAUUAAUAUUAUAUUGAUAUUUUGAUGAUUUAAUUAAAAUAUUUUAAAAUUGGAUGAAUAAUUUAAAAUUAAUUUAAUAAUUUAGAGUUUUUCAUUCGAGAUGUUUAUGGGCCAGAUUAGUUCAGUUUAGGCUUUAACAAAAUUUUAGGCUUUUAGGCCUGAUUUGGUUCAAAAAAUGAGUUUAAAUUUUUGUCCAAACUCAGCCAAGAUAAAAAUGUUAAAACUCAGUUAUGAUCUGAUUGUAUUAUUUUUUUAUUUUUAUAUAAAAAUAUUUUUAAAAUAUAAUACAUUAAUUACACUAAAAACAUUAAAAUAAAUGUUUCCUAAUAAAUUGAAAAUAAAUAAGUUUUUAUACUUAAACUAUACUAAGAUAGGUGCAACUUAACAAGUAAAUACCUCUAAAAUAAUAAUAAAAUUAAGAGUUGUAUAAUAUCCAAAUAAUAACAACAAAAUAGUAAUAACAUAAUAGUAAAAUGGUAGGAAAACAGUGGAAAAAUAACAACAAAACAACAAUAAAAAAUUACAAAUUCAAGCUGGGCCUGGACAAAAUGAUUUUACUCAAGGCUUAACCCAUUUUUUAAACGAGCUUUAAUUUUUGCCUAGACCCAUUUUUCGAGUUUAUAUUUUUAUUCAAAUUAUUUUACAUUCUAGACAAACCUUUGAACUGAGUCGGUUACACAGGCCAUGAACAACUUUAUGUUUUAUGCAAUUAACCCAUACAUAUAUAUAUACACACGUAUAUAGAAAGACGAAAUCCAGGAUAGGUCAUUCGUUCUUGGUCCCUUGGUGAAAUAGAAAUUUUAGUAUUGUGUUCUCCCAAAUAUUAAUAAUUUAAUUUAAGUAUUAUUAACACAGGUUUUUUUACUUUUACUUUCAAAUUUUUAUAAUUUUAUUUCGGCCCUAACAUAAAUUUGCUAGUUAAUUCUCUUUUGCACGUAUACUUAUGGACAUGGUUUGGGUUCUUAAAAAGAUUGGUCAUUUCGGAGUUUAUUUUGGGAUUUAAGUUAGAUUGAAAAUUUUUCAAUUUAAGUUAGAUUAAAAAUUUUUCAAUUUAAAUUCGAAUUUUGACUUUUUAUAUUAAAAUGAAGCUAGAUUGAAUCUAGACUUAAAAAGAUUCGACUUUUAUAUAUAUAUGUUCACAAAUCUAUUUAAUAUUAUUUUUAUUGUGCAGGUAAUGUUAAAUGCAGGAACUGGUACAACAGCUGUAACACUCGAAUGGGCAAUGUCGAAUUUAUUAAAUCAUCAUGAGAUUUUACAAAAAGCUAGAAAUGAAUUAGACACUCAAGUCGGCCAAGAGCAUCUAAUUGAAGAAAUUGAUUUGCCCAAACUACAAUACUUAAAAAACAUAAUUUCAGAAACCUUAAGGUUGUAUCCAGCAACUCCACUUCUAGUCCCUCAUUUUUCAUCUAACCAUUGCACUUUAGGUGGUUACGACAUUAGUCCCAACACUAUCGUAUUCGUCAAUGCAUGGGCCAUUCAAAGGGACUCCAGUUUAUGGGAAGACUCGACAAGUUUUAAGCCUGAGAAAUUCGAAAGUGAUGAUAAAGAAGGGGAUGCUUUCCCAAAGCUAUUGCCAUUCGGGAUGGGGAGAAGGGCUUAUCCGGGAAUGGGAUUGGCGAACCGUGUGUUAAGGUUCGUGUCAGGGUCAUUGAUUCAAUGCUUUGAAUGGAAAAGAGUGAGUGAGAAACGAAUUGAUAUGAAUGAAGGGAAAGGGCUCACUAUGCCUGAAGUUGAACCAUUAGAAGCUAUGUGCAAACCACGCUCUAUUACUAGUAAGGUAUUUUGAGAAAGGUUAAAAUAUGUCAUAAGUCCUUAUAUUUGUUGUGAAUUUAAAAUUUAAUCAUUGUACUUUUAUUUUUAAAAAUUUAAUCUCUCUAUUUUAAGGUUUUAAAUUUCAGGUCCAACUAUUAACACCAUUAAAUUUUUUUGUUAAAGUUAUUGUGUGACAUUUUGAAAAAAAAAAAAAAAACUCACUUAGUAGCCAUGUAACUAAAAAAUGGUGUUUGUAAAGAAAUUGAAUUUAACAAAAAAAUUUAACAAUAUUAACAGUUGAAAAUUUUGAAAUAUAAAAAGUAGAGGAACUAAAUUCAUAUGAAUAAAAAUACAUGGACUAAAUUUUAAAUUUUCAAAAAGUAUAAAGACUUAUGGCAUAUUUUAACUUCUGAGAAACUAUUAAAGUAAUGUUUUUAAUGGUCUAAUUGUGUUUUUAAUCCUUUUAUUAUGCUAAUAAAGUGUUUUGAGAAACUAUUUAAGGCAAGAUUUGGUAUGUGUUUUAUUAUUGUGGUGUGAUAAUUUUAUUACUGAAGCCUCUUAUUAAUAGGACAGUUUUAUUACUCAUAGUUUGUAAUCAAUGUGUUUAGUAUUAAUUUGGUUAAAUUAUAGAUUUGGUCUUUCUACUGUGUUUACAUUUUAUAUUUGAUCUAUAUACUUUAAUUUAACAUAAAUUGAUCAUUCUAUUUUUUAUAAUGUCAUUACUUUUUCUUGAUAGUUAACAUUGUUAAUUAUUCAAAUUGAAUACUUAACACGGAUUUUUUUUUAAAAUACUUAUUCCAACUCAUCACACAAGGGUGAAGUCAAGAGAUUAUUUUAGGGGUAGAAAUGAAUAUAAUUUUUUAAGAGGAUAAAGUGCAAUUUUAUCGUUAUAUUAACUUGUGAUUUCCUAAAAACUAAAGGAGUUAUAUAAAAGAAUUUCAAUAAUUUCAAAGUAACUUCAAAAAAUUUGGAGUAGAAUCCAUACAUUCAAUGGUGGAUUUUGGGACUAAAUUUUGGGGCUAAUAAAAUUUUUAAAAUUUUUUUGAGUUUAAUUAUUUUUUUAAAUUGGGGUCUAAUUAAAAAUAUUAGAAUUUAUGCAAAAUUAAUGAGAAUUUUUAAAAAUUUAGGAACUUAAUUAAAAUUUUUAAGGGAAAAAUAAAAACUUUCCAAUUUUUCAAAGGGCCUUAGACCCCCUAAAUCUCUUUUAGAAUCUGUUUUUACAUAUGUAAAGGUGAGAUUUAAACAUGCGAAACUACUAUUUUAAAGUUCUCGAGAUCUCAACCUUAAUAUAUAUAUUUUUUGAAAAUAUUAACUGAAAUUUUAUUCAAAUAACCAAAAAAAAAAAUCCAAGUAACAAUCGGACAUAACAAAAUAAUUGGCCAAAACAAUAGUCCAAGAUCUAGCCAAUAAAGAACUUGCUCUAUUAGCAUCCAAGUCCCCGGCCUAAGUAAUUAAUGCGACAUAGACUGGUUUGUAACCCCUCAGUCAUUAACCUUUUUUUCCAGUUACUUUAGACCAUCCAUCUUCACUUCAUCUCUCUUCUCCAGACUCAUCACCUAACUUAGCUUUGCCAAAAUUGAGCAAAGAUUAGAUCAAAAACACUAUCCCCCUCCAAAUCCAAUCCCUUUCCAUUUCUCCUUUAACAUAUUUAGGAAACUCGUUUAAAGACUUUUCAAAUUAAAGUGAUAAACCAUACUUUUUAGAUUCCCCACACCAAUAAUUCAUUAUUUCUUUAAUAUCUCCUUAAAUAUUUAUAAUCAUGUAAAUGAAUUUGAAUAGACAGCGCGUAUAGUUACGAUUAGCGUAAAAAUAACAAUAAUAAUAAGAUUAAAUAUUAUAAUAAUACUGUAAAGUGAGACAAAAAAUAAAAUAAACGCUCUAUAUUUAAUUAUCUAUCCAAACCUACAAAAUUACACGAAUAUAUUUUAUUAAUAUAUAAUUUUAAAAAAUAAAGAUAAUGAUUACUCUACUACGUAUAAAAUUACCUUAAUGUAACACAUGGAUUAUAUCCAUUUAUUUAUUAUAAUAUGAACGCUAUCAUAUCAAUCAAUCAUGUGUUUCACAUUUCACCUUUCAAUAAUUUUCCCACUAAAAAGAAUCCAAAGUCCAACAACAACCACUGACUUUAACUUUCUUUUUUUUUUAAAUAUUUUUUAUAAUUUUCUAAAUUAAUUAUGCAUAUCAUCAAUUGACCCUUCACCACCUUUAUGCUCUUUCAAAGUGUUCAUCGAACAUGUCUUCCACUGAAAACAAAAUUGGCCUGAAAAAAUUAUAAAAGAGCUCAUAAUCCUCUCCUAUGGAAAACCUUAUAAUUAUUUUCCUUAUUUUUCUGCCAUUCUCAUCAGCUUAUACACUUCCUAACGAGCACUUCAUCAACUGUGGGUCAGAUAACAACUUCACCGGAAACGACGGUCGGAACUUCGUCGGUGACCGCUACGCCGGCGUUUCUUUCUUUAAAGGAAAAACCGGCACUAAACGAGAAACCACCUCCACCGUAUCCCAACUUUAUUGGACUGUGAGAAUCUAUUCACAGCCAUCGUUUUACGAGUUCAUAAUCAAAACAAGCGGCACUUACUUUGUACGUCUCCAUUUCUUUGUUCCUUCAUCUUCUGAUAAUCUGUACAACGCUAAGUUCACCGUUUUAGCUUCAGGGUUCGAGACCGUUUUAGCUUCAGGGUUCGAGCUUUUAUCGAAUUUCUCCGUCAAAAAUAGCCCUGUCGGUUCGCCGGUCAUCAAGGAAUUUUUAGUCGAUAUUAAUGAAGGAAGAUUCAAAAUCAACUUCAUACCUUCUCAAGGUUCAAACAUAGCUUUUGUAAACGCCAUUGAAGUGUUUCUAACACCGGAAAGCUUCGUCCCCGACACCGCUCCCCUCGCCGGACGUCGUCGAGGCUCGUUCGACGGUUUACGGUCUCGGGUUUUACAUACAGUCUAUAGGAUCAAUGUCGGAGGGGCUACUAUUACAACAGAUGAAGAUACACUGUGGAGGAACUGGAUACCUGAUGAUCAGUUCUUGUCUGAUCCGAAAAGUGCUAAGAACAGUUCGUUUUUCAAUGGUGAACCUGCAUACACAUCUGGUCGUGCCGAUGAAUACACUGCCCCAAGCCUUGUUUAUAAGACUGCAAAGCAAUUGAAUGUAGAAGAUAACACUAGCAGGCAAUUUUUCAAUAUAACAUGGAGUUUCAAUGUGAGUAAAAGUUCAAGACACUUUGUUAGGUUCCAUUUCUGUGACAUUGUUAGUCCAUCAAUUGAUUCUGUCAUGUUUGAUCUUUACAUUUACGAUAAAUUUGACAAGGUGGUUUAUCCGUAUAACGAAACCGGACAGUUAGAGGUUCCGUUUUACUUCGAUUUCGUGGUGGAUUCGGACAAAUCCGGGGUCAUGAACGUAAGUGUCGGCCCUCGGAAUGAUUCCGAGGAUCAAAGGGCGUUUUUGAAUGGGAUUGAAAUAAUGGAGUUCAUGAAGGAAUCCAGCUUUGUUGUGCGCCAAGAGAGGUCUAAAAAAAGGACUAAUUUAGUUCCUAUAGUUGGCUCUGUUGUUGGGACUGUUGUAUUUGUUGUUGUUUUUAUAGUGGCACUGGUUAUGUUCUCGAAAUUCAGGAAAAGAAAGCCUUUGUCUGAAAAAACAUCCAACAUGUCUCCUUUGGAUCUUGCUCUUAGAAUAUCUUAUUACGAAAUCGAGCACGCAACGAAGAAUUUCGAUUCUGGUUUAUUGAUCGGAGAAGGUGGAUUUGGGAGAGUGUACGAAGGUUUGUUUCGUGGUAAGAAAGUGGCUGUUAAAAGGAGCGAACCAGGGCAUGGCCAAGGCCUAUUGGAAUUCCAGACAGAGAUUGUUGUCUUGUCCCGAAUCCGGCAUCGGCAUCUCGUUUCUUUGAUUGGUUACUGCGACGAAAGAUCGGAAAUGAUAUUGGUUUAUGAGUUUAUGGAGAAGGGUACUCUUAGAGAUCAUCUAUAUAAUCAAAGUUCCGAUGUUGAGAAACCGUAUAUUGCUCGGUCCGACUUGUCUUGGAAGCAAAGGCUUGAAAUCUGUAUUGGUGCAGCAAAAGGGCUUAAUUAUUUACACACUGGUUCAGAUUGUGGAAUCAUUCACCGCGAUGUUAAGUCCACGAACAUCCUACUCGAUGAACAGUUAGUAGCCAAAGUUGCCGAUUUUGGGGUCUCGAAAUUUAACCUUCCGGACGAAGAACAUAGUGUUGAUGUCAAAGGAACGUUUGGUUAUCUCGACCCCGAAUACUUCUUAUCGCUGCAAUUGACGGAUAAAUCCGACGUGUACUCUUUCGGGGUCGUACUUCUCGAAGUACUUUGUGCGAGGCCAGCGGUUAUGGCAUCGAAUAGGAGGGAAGAAGUGAACUUAGCUGAAUGGGGAAUGCUUUGGUUGAGGAAAGGUCAACUCGAGAAGAUUAUCGAUCCGAUGCUAGUUGAUACAAUCAACCCCAACUCGUUAAGGAAGUUCGUCGAGACAACCGAGAAGUGUUUAAGACCGUCCGGUAACGAAAGACCGAUGAUGCGAGACGUGUUGUGGGAUUUAGAAUACGCAUUGCAGCUUCAGUUAAUUCCGAUGAACAAUGGAACAUUCGAAGACAGUACGACUAAUGUUUCCUUAGAAUUCUCAAUGACGCCUGUCCUCCAUCGGUUACCUUCAAAUAGCUUCCCGGCCGUUGAGGAAGAAGGUGCGGCCUUACUAUCCGUUGAUGCUUCCGAUGUAUUCUCAUUAUUGAGUGUUGGUGAGGCUAGAUAGUCUCCACUGGUUUAAAUGUUGAUAAGCGCUACAUUUUGUAAGUACUAUUCUUUUGGUAAAAUGACCUCUCCGGUCCCUCUCAAUUCCAAUAUCAAGUAAAUUAGUCCCUCUAAAAAAAAUUGAACAAUUUCAUUUUUGUGAAAUUUGAAAUUGAACAACUAAGCGUCAUUAAUCACAUCAUUAAUUUUUUCAUCAAAUCUACCUAUAUUAAUUUAUAAUUUUAUUAUUUUAGAACGCACUAAACAAAUAUUUUUUAUCCAAAAGAAAACCAAACAUUUUUAAUUUCUAGGACCAAAACUUCUGCCUAACCUUAUAUUCGUCCCUGCCAUUUUUCUGAAUUAUUUUACCAUCCCACCUUUUUCUUUUGGUUUGUUGUCAAUGAAGAAUACAUGCGAUGGAGACAUUUGGGAUUUGAGAAAAAUUGAAGAAAAAAAAAGGUAAAAGCUGCUCAACUGAAGCAACUUCAAGAAGUGGAGAUGUUUGUUGACCUUUAUAUACAAAAUAGUUAAAAACGAGAUUAAAUUUUCUGACAAUUUACUUUAAUUAAUAUAAAUGUGACUUAUAAUAAUUUAGAACCUGAACUUGACACUUUUUCUUAAUUUGAUAUUUAAAUUUAAUUUUUUUUAAGUUGGUACUUAAUCUUUUUCGGGGUCUAAUUUGGUACAUGAAAUUGACUCUUUUUCCUAAUUUGUUAUCUAAUUUUUUUUGUUUAAUUUGAUACUUAAAUUUGUCAAACAUUCUACAAAUUAUUUCAAUAUACUAACAAUGUUUUAUGAGGUAAAAAAAAUAUCAAAUUUAAGUACCAAAUGUUAUAUUAAGCCUAAUUAUAUGUAUAAAUAAUUUUUUGUUCUUUUGUUCUAUCAAUACUUUUUUUCUUAUGCGAUUUUCAUCUAAAGCAUAAAUAAUUAAUAAUAAUAAAAUGGAAAGUGAAAGUGUAGAACAAUGAUGCCAAUUACUGCUAAAUUCUAUCACGUAAGCUGUCCUUUUUUUAGUAAAUAAUUAAAAUAAUUAGCAAAGCUGCUAAAAAAAAAAACUUGACUUAAGGGGCAUGGUGGAUCCAAUUUUACCUUUUCAAAAGUAUCUUUUUUAUCAAGAAAAAGCAGCCAUGGAGCCAACUAAGAGCACACCUGCAAGCUCUUAAGAGAUUUAUUAAAAGUUAAAAUGUUAGUCCUUGUAUUUUGAUAAAAUUUAUAAUUUAGUCUCUAUUUUUGUUUUUUAUUUUAAAAAUUUGAGUCCGAUGGUUAGUAUUUUCUGUCAAAUUUUAUUAAGUUGAUAUAUGUUGAUGUUCUCAUAUGAUAUGAUAUAUAAUUCACAUAAUUGUUAAUAAUAGGAUUAAAACUUUUGAACGACCAUGAUGAGUACAAAAUAUGCAAAAAAAAAAAAUUAUGAUAAUCCUAUAAUCUUUUAUAUAUCAAAUGUACUAAAAAUUAAACCCUUAAAACGACGUUAUAGAGACCAACAACCACAAAUCCUAAAUACAGGGGAAAUCUGAAGGGGCAUGCAAGGCCUUGGCCCCCCUCAAAUGAAUAAAUUACUAUUCAAGUCUCAUAUAAAAUGAUUAAAUUAAAAAUAAAGUUAUGAUAAAUUUGCACUUUGCCUCUCAAAAUGAAGAAAUUAUAAAUUAAUACCUUCAAAAAUUAUGUUUUGAUUUCUCAAAAGUUUAUUAUUCGAUUUUGAUCCUCCUUAAAAAAGAUUUAUGGAUUCGUCUCUACCCAAACAUAAACCGCAAAACAAACAUAGUUGAUAAAAAUAAUAAUUAAGAUUGUAAUCGCUAUUAAAACCUUAAUUAUUGCAAUUAGGCUUUUUAAGGUAAAAAGAAAAAGUUGAAUGAAUUUAGAUCUUUUCCCAUACAUUAUUUUCCUUUUAAUUAUAUAUCAAUGGGGGAAAGAGAGGUUAUGAAGAAAAAGGAGUUGCAUUGUUUAGUAAUUACUACAAAGUAAAGGGACCACAUUAAACAAUGUACAAAAAAAUCUUUUUAAUCUUGUAUUUAUUAACACUUUUGUUUAUUUCCCUUAAUUCUAUUAUCACGAGAUCUGUAAAUCUGCCAUAAUAAAUAUUUAAAAAUAUUAUAAAAAAGAAGAGAAAAAGAUGAUAAUGAUUAUGAUGAUGGAUUACAUAAUGCAAGUCCCAUAUGUGAACAAGAUUACAUAUUUAGAUCUUAAAAUUCUGGGAUGGAAAAGGGGAACAAAAUCCCAAGCUUCCUACAGUGUUAUCAAACUUAAAUGGGUUAAUAUAAUUUUAGUCCCUAAACUUGGUAAUUAAGGUCACUUUAGCACUUUUAUUUUUUUAUUCAUUUUGAUAUCUGAAUUGGCAAUGAGGUUCGUUUUGAUUUUUGAAUUUGAGAUACGUAAAGAUUUGAUGACGAGAUACUUUGAGAUUAUGGCACGUCAUUAAAUCUUUAUAAAAUUCAAGUUCAUUGAUUAAAAUGAACCAAACAAAAAGUACAUGUACCAAAACAGAAUUAAUUGACAAUUCUGGGGACUUAAAGCUAUAUUAACCGACUUAAAUGUGGCUUUCUUCCUACAAAGGUUCAAUUAUGCCUUCAGUCCUAUGCUUCUGGACUUUUGAAAUUUGAUCCCUUUGCUUUGAAAAUUAAAGCGUUAUGGAUUUCUAUUAAAUUUGAAUUGUUGUAUUAUAAUAUUUAAAAGUUUUUAUUUAAAAAUUAAAGUUUAAUUAAAUUUAAUAGAAUUCAGCUAACAGUACUCAGUCGGACUAUAAUUUUUAAACUAGAUAAAUAAAAAAAUUAGACAAUGUUAGAUCUAUAUCCUAAUAAAACAACAAAUUAUAGGGACCAAAUAUAUCAUUAUGUAAUAAAACAUAGCUAUGGAACUCUUUAUCAGCUUGUCUAGUGCCAAAAUGAGGACAAUUUAUAGGGGAAUCAAUUAUUGAAAAUUUCUCUUAAAACACUCUUACGUAGAUCCGUUUUAUCAAAAGCAGUUCUUUUCGAUAAAUAAUACAGAAAUUAACCUAUUUUCAUAAAUAUAUUUAGAAAUAGGACUUUUUAAGUAAAUCAAUUAUUUUUAUGCCUAAAAAAAGAUUCAAUUUAAAGUGAUAAACCAUACUAUUUGGACUGCCCCACGAAUAAUUCAUCAUUCCUUUAAUAUCCCCUUAAAUAUUUGCAAUCAUGUAAAGAUGAGUUUGAAUAGGUGCUAAGUUUAGUUACGAUUAAUGUAAAAAUAAUAGUAAUGAUGAAAUUAAAUACUAUAAUAAUAAUAUAACGUGAGACAAAAAAAUAAAUUAAACACACCACCCUUAAUCAUUCAUUUAAACCCAAACUAAGGGCUCUUUUGGUUUGGCUUUUAACAUCAGUGAGGUGCAGUUGGGGUAGCAACCUCACUGAUAUGUUGUUUGGUUCAGCAAUACAGUGCAGUGAAAGUUGAUUUCAACCACACUGCUACGAUGAAAAGGAGUUAGAGGUUUCAGCAACAAUUGAAGGCAGUGGGAUAGUAGGUAUUUUUAACAGACAAAAACACUAUUACUUUUAUUUAUUAUUUUACCAUUUUAUCUUUGAAAGUUAAACUAAUUUAUUUCCCAACCUUAUUUGUAUCACAUUACAAAAACAAAAAUUUAAAUACUUAUACCUAAUAAAACGUCUUUCUCAUUACAAUAAUAGUUAUUUUCCAAAUAACAUAUUGUUUUAUAAUUUUAUUUCUUAAUUAAUAUUUUAAUUUAAUUUUAAUAAUGCAUACUUUAUAUAAUCAUAUUAGUGAAUCUGCUAACACAUACUUCAUCCGGGUAAAGUAUGCAUUUUAAUAACACAUGAAAAAUAAUGUUACUAUUUGUGAAAAUAAUAUUUAUCAUUGUUAUAAAAGAGUAUUUAACUAUAAAAAAUUAAAAAUAAUUAUCAUUUUAUCUAAAAAAUAAUUUAAAUUGAUUAUAUAAUUAAUUAAAAUAUUUAUAAUAAAAUAUUAGAAAAUACAUUUUAAUAUUUUAUUAAACGAAUUUUUUAUUCUCACCUCACCGCUACAGCUGCGUUUGAAUCCAAACACACACUCUACCAUUGUUUCUAAUCUCACCACUACAGUAUUUAAUCUCAAGUAACUAAUAUUACCGCCACUACUAUUUUUUAUUCCACCGGAAGUAAACACACCGCCUAUCUAAACUAAGCCUAAUACAUUUUAUUGAUAUAUAAUUUUAAAAAAGAACGAAAAUGAUUACUCUACAACAUAUAAAUUACCUUAAUGCAAUCCAUUUAUUUAUUAUAAUAUGAACGCUAUCAUAUCAAUCAAUCGUGUGUUUUAUAUUCCACCUUUUAAUAAAUUUCCCACUUCAAAGGAAUCCAAAGUCCAACAGCUGCCACUAUCUUUAACCUUUUUUAAAAAAAAAUAUUUUUUAUAAUUUUCUAGUUUAAUUAUGCAUAUCCUCAAUUGACCCUUCACCACCUUUAUUCUCUUUUAAAGUGUUCAUCGAAAUUGGCCUGCAAAAAUUAAAAAAGAGCUCAUAAUCCUCUUCUAUGGAAAACCUUAUAAUUAUUUUCCUUAUUCUUCUGCCAUUCUCAUCAGCUUAUACACGUCCUAACGAGCACUUCAUCAACUGUGGGUCAGAUUUCAACUUCACCGGAAACGGCAGUCGGAACUUCGUCGGUGACCGCUACGCCGGCGUUUCUUUCUUUAAAGGAAAAACCGGCACUAAACGAGAAACCACCUCCUCCGUAUCCCAACUUUAUUGGACGGUGAGAAUCUAUUCACAGCCAUCGUUUUACGAGUUCAUAAUCAAAACAAGCGGCACUUACUUUGUACGUCUCCAUUUCUUUGUUCCUUCAUCUUCUGAUAAUCUGUACAACGCUAAAUUCACCGUUUUAGCUUCAGGGUUUGAGCUUUUAUCGAAUUUCUCCGUCAAAAAUAGCCCUGCCGGUUCGCCCGUCAUAAAGGAAUUUUUAGUCAAUAUCGAUGAAGGAAGAUUCAAAAUCAAUUUCAUACCUUCUCAAGGUUCAAACAUAGCUUUUGUAAACGCCAUUGAAGUGUUUCUAACACCGGAAAGCUUCGUCCCCGACACCGCUCCCCUUGCCGGACGCCUUCGAGGCUCGUUCGACAGUUUACGGUCUCGGGUUUUACAUACAGUCUAUAGGAUCAAUGUCGGAGGGGAUAAUAUUACAACAGAUGAAGAUACACUGUGGAGGAACUGGAUACCUGAUAAUCAGUUCUUGUCUGAUCCGUCAAGUGCUAUGAAGAACAGUUUGUUUUUCAAAGGUGAACCUGCAUACACAUCUGGUCGUGCCAAUGAAUACACUGCCCCAAACCUUGUUUAUAAGACUGCAAGGAUAUCGAUUGUACAAGAUCAAUUCAAUAGAGGGCAAUCUUUCAAUAUAACAUGGAGUUUCAAAUGUGAGUAAAAGUUCAAGACACUUUGUUAGGUUCCAUUUUUGGGAAAUUGUUAGUCCAUCAAUUGAUUCUGUCAUGUUUGAUCUUUACAUUUACGAUAAAUUUGAGAAGGUGGUUUAUCCGUAUAACGAAACCGGACAGUUUGCGGUUCCGUUUUACUUCGAUUUCGUGGUGGAUUCGGACAAAUCCGGGGUCAUGAACGUACGUGUCGGCUCUCGGAAUGAUUCCGAGAAUCAAAUGGCGUUUUUGAAUGGGAUUGAAAUAAUGGAGUUUGUGCCCCAAGACCAAGAGAGGUCUAAAAAAGGGACUAAUUUAGUUCCUAUAGUUGGCUCUGUUGUUGGGGCUGUUGUAUUUGUUUUUGUUUUUAUAGUGGCAAUGGUUAUGUUCUUGAAAUGCAGGAAAAGAAAGCCUUUGUCUGAAAAAACAUCCAACAUGUCUCCUUUGGAUCUUGCUCUUAGAAUAUCUUAUUACGAAAUCGAGCAAGCAACGAAGAAUUUUGAUUCCGGUUUAUUGAUCGGAGAAGGUGGAUUUGGGAGAGUGUACGAAGGUUUAUUUCGUGGUAAGAAAGUGGCUGUUAAAAGGACCGAACCAGGACAUGGCCAAGGCCUACUGGAAUUCCGGACAGAGAUUAUUGUCUUGUCCCGAAUCCGGCAUCGGCAUCUCGUUUCUUUGAUUGGUUACUGCGACGAAAGAUCGGAAAUGAUAUUGGUUUAUGAGUUUAUGGAGAAGGGUACUCUUAGAGAUCAUCUAUAUAAACGGAGUUCCGAUGUUGAGAAACCGUAUUUUGCUCGGUCCGACUUGUCUUGGAAGCAAAGGCUUGAAAUUUGUAUUGGUGCAGCAAAAGGGCUUAAUUAUUUGCACACCGGUUCGGAUGGUGGAAUCAUUCACCGCGAUGUUAAGUCCACGAACAUCCUACUCGAUGAACGGUUAGUAGCCAAAGUUGCCGAUUUUGGGGUCUCGAAAUUUAACCUUCCGGAUGCCGAACAUAGUGCUAAUGUCAAAGGAACGUUUGGUUAUCUCGACCCCGAAUACUUCUCAUCGCUGCCAUUGACGGAUAAAUCCGACGUGUACUCUUUCGGGGUCGUACUUCUCGAAGUACUUUGCGCGAGGCCAGCGGUUUUGGCAUCGAAUAGGAGGGAAGAAGUGAACUUAGCUGAAUGGGGAAUGCUUUGGUUGAGGAAAGGUCAACUCGAGAAGAUUAUCGAUCCGAUGCUAGUUGAUACAAUCAACCCCAACUCGUUGAGGAAGUUCGUCGAGACAACCGAGAAGUGUUUAAGACCGUCUGGUAACGAAAGACCAGUGAUGCGGGACGUGUUGUGGGAUUUAGAAUACGCAUUGCAGCUUCAGUUAAUUCCGAUGAACAAUGGAACAUUCGAAGACAGUACGACCAAUGUUUCCUUAGAAUUCUCAAUGAUGCCGGUCCUCCAUCGGUUACCUUCAAAUAGCUUCCCGGCCGUUGAGGAAGAAGGUGCGGCCUUACUAUCCGUUGAUGCUUCCGAUGUAACUGCUAGCCAAGUACUCUCAUUAUUGAGUGUUGGUGAGGCUAGACAGUCUCCACUGGUUUAAAUGUUGAUAAACGCUACACUUUGUAUGUACUAUUUUUUGGUAAAAUGUCCUCUCCAGUCCCUCUCAAUUCCAAUAUCAAGCAAAUUAGUCCCUCUCAAAAAAACUUAAGCAAUUUUAUUUUUGUGAAUUUUGAAAAUGAGCAACUAAGCACCAUUAAUCACAUCAUUAACUUUUCAUCAAUUCUACAUAAUUUUUAUUUGUAUAAUAACAAAUUUAGCACCUAAAGUUUACACGUUCUAAUAAAUUUGUCCUGAUUAACAAAUGUAGCCGAUAACAUUUAAGUAAAUAUGUAAAUAUUGAGAUUAAAUUUUGUUUUUUAGAGCGAUGGCUCGCUUCACCCAAAUUGUUGGUUUAAAAUUAAUAAAAAUAUUUUUAUUUAAUUUUAAUCAUAAAAACAUAUAAAUAUUAAUAUAAAAUUAUGAAAUGAGCCGAUCCGAAGUCCAAAAUACUUGAUCUAAAGCGGGCCGAGGAGCCCGGCCAUAAACACCUCUAUGAGUGGACAGUAGCAGAUUCGGGUUUAAGUGACCCAUAAGUUUUUGGGUUGUAAUAAACGGCCCAUUAAGAAAAAAAGGAGAACCACCGACCGAGGCUUAGGAAAAUCAAGGCGCACGUAAAACCACGUGCCCACACGCAGAGCAAGAGCGAUGCGAUACCCUUGUAGUCUACAUAGUGACUUGAACUUUCACACUUUCCACAAACCAUUGCUCCAUUGGUUUGAUUAUUAUUUAAUAGGGGCAAUUUUCAAACUUAUACUUAAACUUUGAUUUAAUUUAUAAUUUGAUACAUAAAUGUUGAUUUGGUGUAAAUUAUACAAAUCAAAUUUUGAUUAUAGUUCAAAUAUAUACAUGAAACUUUAAUUUUGAUUCAAUCAUAGAUAUUUAAAGAAAUAAAUACAUCAGUUUAUUUUUAUAUUAGAUAAAUAUAAUUAUUUGUGUAUGUAAUAUAUAAACAUAAAAUGAUGUUAUAUCAAUAAUUGUAUUAAUAAUUUGUAAAAAUUGAAUUAAAUCAAAAUUUCAUGCAAAAAAUUGCACAAAAUUGAAACUCAUGUAUAAAAUUACAUAUUAAACCAAAAUUCAAAUAUAGUUUUAAGAUUUAUCCUUGUUUAUUGGUUAAUGAUUUUUUUUUAUUUUGUAAAUAUUUUUUUAAAUUAAAUAUUUUUUAGAAUAGUAAUUAAGAAUACAUUAAUUUCACUUAAUUAAACAACAUUUAUUGUCAAUAUAUAUUAUAAUUAAGCAAUGUAAGAAAUAAUUUUUCUAUAAUAAAUCUUGUAUAUUAGUGAGGGUGAAGCAAGAAAUAAAUUUUAGGAAAUUUAUAAUUUUUUGUAGGCUAAAAAGUAAGUUUAUUAUUAUAUUAUUUUAUAAUAAGUUUAUUAUUAUAUUAUUUUAUAAUCUUUCAAUGGAUUUAAAAACAAUGUUGUUUAAAUUGAAAUAGGCUAAUCAAGGUACUAUUUUGAAGAGGAACUAGAUAAGUGGUCCAACGGUUCGAUUGGUUUAAUUAAAUAGAUCGUUAAAAGUUUAGAAAAUUUUAAAAAAAUAAAAAAAAUCAUUGGGUCAGGUUGGUACAAAAUUCUAGGCUCGUUUUCUAUCAAAUCCAGGCUCAGCCCGAAAAUGAGCAUAAAAUUUUGCCAAAGCUUGACCUAGAUAAAAAAUACUAACUCGAACUCAGCCUGUUCAUAUUAAAUUUUUUUAUAUUAUUUUUUAUAUAAAAAAAAUUUAAAAAGUAUAAUACGUCAAAUACACUAAAAACAUUAAAAUAAAAUUUUCUCAACAAAGUGAAAAUAUAUUAAAAAAUUUUAUACUUAAAUAACACUAAAAUAGUUACAAAUUGGCAAACAAAUAUUUCUAAAAUAAUAGCAAAAUUAAUAAUAAAACAAUAAUUAUACAAUAUCCAAAAAAUAAUAAUAAAAUAGUAGUAAUAAAAUACUAACAUGACAACAAAACAAUAGUAAACAACAAUAGGUACAAAAAAUUUAGGCAAAUUCAGAGCCAAGUCAAUUCAAAAAAUUUUACCCAAAGUUCGACCCAUUUUAAAAAUAGGUCUUAUUUUUUUAUUUAAGUCCAUUUUUCGAACAAGCCUUUGGACCUAAACGGAUGGUCUAGCCCAUGAUCAAGUCUAGGCUGAAGUCGUUAUCUGUCCCUUUAAUUUUGUCUUACCUAUAAUAUUAAUAUUUGAUAUAGUAACAACACAUCUUUACCUUCCCAAAUAAAAUUAAAAAAUUAUCGUAUAAUAUUCCUUUUACAUAAUUUAAUUUUUUUACUAUACACUAAUCAUCCUAACUAUUUUAUUUAUAUAUUUUUUAAAAUUCCAAUGUAUGAAAUAAUUAGAUAUAUAGGGAGAGAGAGACGGAGUUUCUCAUUGAUUAGUGAGCUAGAGUGAGUUGUACAAGCAAAGUUACUCGACCCCCUCAUCAAAAUCAAAGCACAUUUAAUAAUUUUUGGAAUGUUCAAACCGAAGACAUGAUCUGUCUGGUUUUUUUUUUUAAUAAAAAUUUCUGUCAUGCUCUAUAAAAAAAUCAAUUUGGGAUUUUUAAGAUUAUUUUAGAACAUUGUAUUAAUGGCAUUCACAUUACCACUCACAAGAUCAUAACUUUAUUCCCUCCAAUGAGAUGGAAUAAUAAACCGUAAAGCAAUAUUCCAUCUUCAUUAAAAAAAAACUCAGAUUCUCUAAUAAUGUAGUCCCAUAUUUUCAUAAUCAUAGUUUAGGGGUUAGGACACCACUGAAGACAAAACACUAAAGCUGCUGGAAAAUCCAACCAUGGCUUUGACGAGUUGCCGGAAGAUAUUGGGCAACGAGCUUUAUGGAAGAAACUACCAAAUCCUCGCCGAAUGACCCGGUUGUAUUUUAGGGGUUCAUUGGUUUGAACCCUGACCGGAUCAAAAACCGCAACUGUUCACGGGCGGCUAAUUGAAUUUCUCAUGUUCUCAAAAUAUAAAUCGUUGAAAUACCAUCCGCUUGGAUUUUUUAUUCGUUUUUCAAUAACCCUAACUAUUAAAUCUCAUGUAUCGAUUUGGGUUUGAGCCAGAUUCAUGAAUGAUUAAUAAUGAAGGUAGUUGUUUAACCUAGAGUUAGUUAGAAUUAUGAGUCGAAGUUUUCCUUAACUUGCUCAUUUUACGUGAAUGGCUAAUUUAAAAAUUGUUUGGGUUAGAAUUUUUCAUGCAUCAGAGUAAGGGUGAGUUUGGAUAAGUGGUGGAUUGCGGUGUGGUGCGUUUAAUUUACUUUUUAUCUCAAGCUAUAGUAUCUAAUAUCACCGUCAUCCAAACCCAUCCAAACCCAUUCUAAGUUAGUUCAAGUAGCGAUAUUAUUCCAAAAAAGAAGGAGCUUCAAGCUGUGCCUGUUUUUGGAGUAGCCCGAGCCCAAAAUUGAUUAAUAAACAAUAGCUAAACAUCUGCAUUUUUUUUCUCAAUAUGAGAUUUCAGUGUCCAUAGUUACAUUGAUUUUUUUAUUAAAUUACGAGUUAAGUUGGAUCAUACUCCUGAAUUGAGGGCAAGUUGUUUUAUCAUUUUUUUCAAUUACAAAAUUCGAAUAUAAAAUCUUAUUUAAAGAAUAUAAAAAAAUCAUUAUCACUCGAUCCAACAAACAUUCUCAUUAAUCAUACAAUAUUAAAAGAUUAGAUUUAACUUUAAAUUAAUUCCAUGAGACAAAAACUAGUUACCAUUUAUAAAGCAACAUUUAAUUCUUGAUCCAUGAACUUUACAACAUUUUUCAACUUAGUUUCUAUUUUUUUUUGUCCAUUUUAUUCUUGGAAUUUAGAAAAAAAUUCCAAUUUAAUCCUUGAUUUUAAAUUCUAUUGAGGUGUAAUUAUGUGACACUUUAAAAUUAUCAUCUAAUUUUUAAAUAUAUAUAAUCUAAAAAGCAAAAAAGAAAUUAUAGUUUUCUUAAUUAUAAAAACUUAAAAAAAAUCAGAUGAUGGUUUGGCACAAUUUCAUAAUGUCAUAUUGUCAUUUCUUAACAUCGAAUUUAAGGAUCAAAAUUAAUAAAAAUUGUUAAAUUCUAAAUUUAAUAUAGGCAAAAAAUUUCAAAGAUAAAUAAAAAAAUCACUAAACUCAGACUAAAUAUUACUUUAACCCGAUAAUAUAAAAAGAAAAAUUUACUAGGGCUUAGUUUGGAUGGACGGUGUGUUUAUUUACAGUUAAUAUAAAAACAAUAAUAGCUAACGGUAAAAUUGAAUACUAUAACAUAAAACAAAAAAUAAAUUAAACGCAUCACACCAUACCCAACCACUUAUUCAAACCCUACCUAGGAAUCAAAAUAAAGCAAUCCCCAUUGUCCCACCAGGAACUUGGCAGCCUCUUCAUAUUAGCACAAUAUAGUCGUCACCCGAAUAUCAACCAUCAAUUAUUUGUUGCACCGCAAUAGUUAAGUCAUGCUAGGUUUUUCUUGUUUUUAACAAAUCCUUAUUUUAUACCCAAAAAAUUAAGGGUCUACAAAAUUUUAAGGCCAACCAAAUUUCACCUAAAAGGAGCAGAUUGGCUGCUUUCAUAUAUAUAUAUAUAUAUCCCACCAUAUUUCAAAUCAAAUAAUUAGGUUGGCUAAUGGUUUCCUAAGUUGGCAUAUCUAAAAGCUAGGUUUGCAACCUUUAGGCCAAGAAAUUCCUAAAUACCAUAUAUCUAUCUUGGAUUAUUUAGGGUAAUAAUGUUAGGGUUGCAUGAAAAUAGGUUAAAUUAUAGUUUUGGUCCCUUUAUUAUACUGAAAUUUGAUUUCGUACUUUAACUUUACAUAAUUUGAUCUUUCUAUUUUUAUAAUGCCAUUACCUGAUUUAGAAAAAAACAAAUUAGGGUAUUUAAAAAGAGUUUAAGGAUAAAAAAAAUUUAAUUAAAAAAAAAACAAUUAAGCCCUUAGGGAAAAGGUUCAACCUAUAUCGAGCUAUUAAUAAUUACCAAAAAAAUCAACUAAGUCAUUUCGUUAAUGAAAACCAUCAAUUGACUGAUUUAAUUGUUAACGGUGCUAAUGUGAUAUGUCAUGUUAACAAAAAAUAAAAAAAUUAUUAAAAAUUUUAAAUUGGGUUGGAUCGAUCUGAAGUAAUAAAAUAAAAUUUAUCCACUCACAAUCUAAAGAAGGUCGAGCCAACCUAACUGCCGUAAACCACCUAACACGUGAACAAGUCUAUUUAACUCAAAUAAUUUGCAUUGUUAAUUAAUACAAUUAAAGAAUAGAUGUGAAAUAUUUUUUAAUAAAAAAAUACUUAUCUCAUCACGCAUUAAAUUAACAAUAAUUUAAUGUCGUUAAUUUGAUCGUAAUAGAUAACAAUGUUAACUAUUUAAAUUAACUAAUGACAUAAGUGGAAUGAUGAAAUUAUGUCAAAUUAAAAUAUAAUAGAAAUAUCGAAACCCGAGAUUGACCAUGAAAAUAUUAGAAAGUUCAAGCCUUUAUUUUCACUUAAACCCCUAUUAUUAUAAUAAUUAUAGUUAGAUACAAGUUGGCUGUCAAACAAAAUCUUCAUCUUUCCUUUAAUGGUAGAAUUUCAACUAAUACAAAGAAUUAUUAUAUUAAAAGGCAAAAGAGGUAAAAAAAAAAAUCUUAGCCGUUUCAACUGAAAGUAAUUACAAUUUUUCUCGUUAGAAAAGCUUUAUUAACGUUCUUGGUGGUUGUAUUUUGGCCAUCAAAACUAGGGAUUUUCGACAUUCUUUGUAUCUAUAAAAAAGAAGAAAAUAAAAAUUGAUUAUCGACGUCGGUUUGGUUUGGCCAGAUUUUUUUAGUUAUCCAUCAUAAUUCGAUUAAGUGUGAUUCGAUUUUUCCAUAUUAAUUUAUGGUUGCGUUAUGGCUUUUAAAUAUUAUUUGACAAAAUUUAAAGUUAGGUAUUUUUAAAAAUUAAGAACUUUAAUUUAUUUUUGCUAUUUUAAAUAUAAAAUAUUUAAUUUUUAUAUCAUAAAAUUAAAAAAUCAUCCAAAUACCUCUAUUCGGAUCAGUUUUUAAUUUUUCAGUUUUUCUUAUUUAGCCUUAAUGCUUUGUAUCUAUAAAUUGAUAGAAUCUUGUUAGAGAUGGCAAUUGGGUGGGACGAGUUGAUUUUUGUUUGUUUUAAUCUUGACCCGAUUUUUUUACACCUUUUUAUUCCCAUUUUGUUUCGAAUAUGAUUUUUUUUUUGUGAUACAAGAAAACCAAAAGGACUUAAGUUAGGCUUACAAUAUCAAAACACCAUUAGUUUUAUCACUAUUAAGGGCUUUAACACAUUUACUCCCUCCACAUCGGCAGAAGCCAUUUUGGCAAUGCUAUUAACCACAUGAUUGGCUUCCUUAGGAAUAUGUCUUACCACUCAAAAUUCUUUAUAUUGUAACAACCUUUAAAUUCACCUAAUUCGUGCAGAGAUUGAGUUUGUUGAAGAAUCCCUUUUUAUUGCUUGGACCACCUCAAGAUUAUUUGUAUGAAUUCAAAUUCUUCCCAACCCCCGUUCUUGUAGUAGAGUUAGGCCAUUCAAAAUGCCCCAUAACUCGGCAUAUUAAAUAAUUUAUUUAAUUAAAUAGUUUUUACAAAAGUUAAAUGACAUACAAAUUAUGAAAUCUUAUUAAAAUUUUAUUAAAGAUAAAAAAUUAUAAUUAAAAAAUAUAUAAAACUAGUUAUAAAAUUAAAAUAAAUAUAUAUUUGUAAAAUUUAUCAAGAUAAGAUGGUGAGGCAAUGAUCAAAACUUGACUUAACUUGACUUGAAUUCUAAUAUUUUAAUCAAAAAGUUACAUCAUCCUACUUCAAAACUCGAUUUUUCAAAAAAUAAUUCAUCUCUCAGAAAUAAAUUUAGAAAUUUUUUAAGGGGUUAAAAUUUAAUUAUAAUUUUUUGAGAGAUCAAAAUAUAAUUUUAUCAUUUUUAAAGAAUUAAAAAUAUUUUUUUUAUUUUUGGAGUUAAAAUGUAACUUUUUCAUAUAUUAAUUUAUAAUUUUAUUAUUUCAGAGUGCACUAAACAAAUAUUUUUUAUUCAAAAAAAAACUAAACAUUUUUAAUUUUUAGGACCAAAACUUCUGCCUAACCUUAAUUCGUCCCUGCCAUUUUUCUGAAUUAUUUUACCAUCCCACCUUUUCUUUUGGUUUCUUGUCAGUGAAGAAUACAUGCGAUGGAGACAUUUGGGAUUUGAGAAAAACUGGAGAAAAAAAAGGUAAAAGCUGCUCAACUGAAGCAACUUCAAGAAGUGGAGAUGUUUGUUGACCUUUAUAUACAAAAUAGUUAAAAACGAGAUUAAAUUUUCUGACAAUUUACUUUAAUUAAUAUAAAUGUGACUUAUAAUUUUUUUUAAGAUGGUACUUAAUCUUUUUCGGGGUCUAAUUUGGUACAUGAAAUUGACUCUUUUUCCUAAUUUGAUACUUAAUCUUUUUUUUUUGUUUAACUUGAUACUUGAAUUUAUCAAAUAUUUUACAAAUUACUCUAAUACACUAACAAUAUUUUAUGAGGUAGAAAAAAUAAGUAAUAUAUGACCGACAUAUGAAAUUACUUUUAAUUUUAUUUAUUUAUUUUAUUAAUUGAGAACAAUGGAUUUCUUUUGAUUUCGAUUUUUAAAACUAUUUUUUUCUUAUUCAAUAUUAAUUCGUUAAGCAUAGCUUAAUACCUAUUUUUUUAACAUAAAAUUCCUCUAAUACUGGCAAUAUUUUGUAGCAUAACAAAAUUUUUUUAACACCAUUACUGUUUUGCAUAAUUUGUAUAACAUUUAAUAAAUUUAGGUGCAAAAUUGAACCUAAAAAAGCUUAGGUACCAAAUUAAGCCGAAAAAGUUUAUGUGCUAAAUUAGAAAAAAAUACUAAAUUUAAGUAUCAAAUGUUAUAUUAAGUCUAAUUAUAUGUAUAAAUAAUUUUUUUUCUUUUGUUAUAUAUCAAUAUUUUUUUUCUUAUGGGAUUUUCAUCUAAAGCAUAAAUAAUUAAUAAUAAUAAAAUGGAAAGUGAAAGUAUAGAACAAUGAUGCCAAUUACUGCUAAAUUCUAUCAUGUAAGCUUUCCUUUUUUUUUCUUUUUCCUUUUUUUGGUAAAUAAUUAAAAUAAUUAGCAAAGCUGCUAGAGAAAAAAAAAACUUUGACUUAAGGGGCAUGGUGGAUCCAAAUUUACCUUUUCAAAAGUAUCUUUUUUCUCUUCAAGAAAAAGCAGCCAUGGAGCCAACUAAGAGCACACUUGCAAACUCUUAAAGAGAUUUAUUAAAAGUUAAAAUAUGAUGUUAGUCCUUGUAUUUUGAUAAAAUUUAUAAUUUAGUCUCUAUUUUUGUUUUUUAUUCUAAAAAUUUGAGUCCGAUCGUUAAUAUUUUUUGUCAAAAUUUACUAAGUUAAUAUAUGUUGAUGUUUUCAUAUGAUAUGAUAUAUAAUUCACAUAGUUGUUAAUAAUAGGAUUAAAACUUUUGAACGAGUACAAUGAGUACAAAAUAUGAAAAAAAAUGAUAGUCCUAUAAUCUUUUAUAUAUGAAAUGUACUAAAAAUUGAAAUCACAAAAUAACAAGUAUUGGUGUGAUAAUAAGGCAUAUUAUAUUUUUAGACAGAAAACUCAAAUUUAAACCCUUAAAACAACAUUAUUAAACCAACAACCACGAACCCUAAGUACAAGCGGCAAAUCUGAAGGGGCAUGGAAGGCCUUGGCCCCCCUCAAAUGAAUAAAUUGCUAUUUAAGUCUCAUAUAAAAUGAUCAAAUUAAGAAUAACUGUAUGAUAGAAUUGCACUUUGCCUCUCAAAAUGAAGAAAUUAUAAAUUAAUACCUUAUAAAAUUAUGUUUUGAUCUCUCAAAAGUUUAUUAUUCGAUUUCAAUCCUCCCUGAAAAAGAUUUAUGAAUUCGUCUUUGCCCAAACAUAAACCGCAAAACAAACAUAGUUGAUAAAAAUAAUAAUUGAGAUUGUAAUCGCUAUUAAAACCUUAAUUAUUGCCAUAAUAGGCUUUUUAAGGUAAAAAGAAAAAGUUGAAUGCAUUUAGAUCUUUUCCCAUACAUUCUUUUCCUUUUCAUUAUAUAUCAAUGGGGGAAAGAGGGGUUAAGAAGAAAAAGGAGCUGCAUUGUUUAGUAAUUAUUACAAAGUAAAGGGACCACAUUAAACAAUGUACAAAAAUAUCUUUUUAAUCUUGUAUUUAUUAACACUUUUGUUUAUUUCCCUUAAUUCUAUUAUAACGAGGUCUGUAAAGCUGCCAUAAUAAAUAUUUAAAAAUAUAAAGAUGAUAAUGAUUAUGAUGAUUAUGAUGAUGGAUUACAUAAUGCAAGUCCCAUGUGUGAACAAGAUUACAUUUUUAGAUCUUAAAAUUCUGGGAUGGAAAAGGGAACAAAAUCCCAAGCUUCCUACAGUGUUAUCAAACUUAAAUGGGUUAAUAUAAUUUUAGUCCCUGAACUUGGUAAUUAAGGUCACUUUAGCACUUUUAUUUUUUUAUUCAUUUUGAUAUCUGAACUUGGCAAUGAGGUUCGUUUUGGUUUUUAAACUUGAGAUAUGUAAAGGUUUGAUGAUGAGGUACUUUGAGAUUAUGGCACGUCAUUAAAUCUUUAUAAAAUUCAAGUUCAUUGAUUAAAAUGAACCAAACAAAAAGUACAUGUACCAAAACAUAAUUUUUUUUUUGAAACAGUACCAAAACAGAAUUAAUUGACAAUUCUGGGGACUUAAAGUUAUAUUAACCUACUUAAAUGUGGCUUUCUUCCUACAAAGGUUCAAUUAUGCCUUCAGUCCUAUGCUUCUGGACUUUUGAAAUUUGAUCCCUUUGCUUUGAAAAUUAAAGCCUUAUGGAUUUCUAUUAAAUUUGAAUUGUUGUAUUAUAAUAUUUAAAAUUUUUUAUUUAAAAAUUAAAGUUUAAUUAAAUUUAAUAGAAUUCAGCUAACAGUACUCAGUCGGACUAUAAUUUUUAAACUAGAUAAAUAGAGGGAUUAAACUUCUAAAAUUAAAACAAAAUAACUAAAUUUUAAAAAUAUGAAAAAAUAUAAAAACUAAAACCUUUAAAAAAUUAGACAAUGUUAGAUCUAUAUCCUAAUAAAACAACAAAUUAUAGGGACCAAAUAUAUCAUUAUGUAAUAAAACAUAGCUAUGGAGCUCUUUAUCAGCUUGUCUAGUGCCAAAAUGAGGACAAUUUAUAGGGGAAUCAAUUAUCAUGGCCAGGUUAUUGGUGGAAAGUAAGAGUAAACUUAGAAUAUCAAUAUUUCAAACUACAUUUUUCAUUUAAAAAUAUAAUUUUUUUUGUCGAUUGAAUCUUACCUCGUAUGAGCAUUGAUGUCAGUGUAGGAGAACGUAAGUUUAAGUGCGUUGAAACAUUUCAUCCUCUUAUUUAAGGGUUGAGGAGGGAUUAUGAGUAGUUUUAGGCAUUAUAUCAAAAAAUAAAGACUAAGAAUUGUGAUCCUACAUUUAUAUGAAAGAAAGUAAAUAAAAAAAUAAUUUUUAAUAACUAUAGAAUUAAUAGAUAAUUUUUUACAGAUAAAACUUUAAGCAAGAGCAAUCGAACUAUCCAAUUUCAAACCAACAAAAAAAAAUUGUAAACAAGCCGCUAAACAUUAAUUUUAAAUUGGAAUUUUAACUUAAAUUUCGAAAAAGUGCUUCUCAAUUAAAUUAUUUUUUCAUCCUCUCAUUAAAUCUUUUACUUUACAAAAUCAUGUUUAAAGUUGACAUUUAUUUUUCUCGAAAACACCUUUUAGCAGUAAUAAUAAACACUAUCAAAUUUUUUUAAAAGCAUGCACUUUUCAACCUCAAUGAUAAACUAGUAUUAAAUAAAAUCGAGUUUGAGUUGGGUUUAAAUUAAUAUUUUUAUAAUAUAUACAUUUAAAAAUAAAAAAUUAUAUAUUAAAACUCAAUUAAAUCAUUAUUUUGAUUACGAUUUCAUAAACUAAUAACCUAUUAACAUAAUUUAUUUUAACUGCACACAAAAUUAUUUUAAUAAUCAUAAUUAAUUUAAUCAAACCAUCUCGAUCAAAAUUCGAAUGAAAUUAUUUGAACCGAUUUUUUACCACCCACCAAAAUUUUUCUUUUGGAGUUGCAAUCAUGUAUAAGUAGCUUCUCCACUAACAUGACAGUGUUAUAUUUUGGGGGGUCAUUUUCAACCUUUUUAUUUUCCCUCUUUGUUUUCUUGUCUUCCAUUAUCACUUUCCCCCUCUUCUUUUUUAAUUUUGUCUCGAUAUAUCAACAUCCUUUAAUUCAAAGAGCAGUAACAGACGGGAAAAGAAAAAAAAGAUCAUUUAAACAUUGAUUGCACGCACUGUGUGAUGUAGUUAAGAAGGACAAGUCUUGCCAGUUCAUUGUUGGGGCCAUUAGUAAAUUCAUGUAUUAUUUAACAAUUUUCAUCUUAGGCAGAAUAGUUUUUAGUUGGAUUGAUAUAAUUAUUGUUACUAACGCAGAAGGAUGCGGAUUUUGAGUAUGUUGAAAUAUAUUAUUUUUUUAUUUAUAGACGGUUGAGGGAGCUAUAAGUAAUUUAAGAUAUUAUGUAAAAAACAGAUAUGAUCAGAACAUUUUAUUAUUUCCCUGAAUAUGUUAAGAAGUUAGACUAUAUUUAUUGAGCCAGGGACCUUGAUCUAAUGAGUUUUUGAGUUUAAUAUAAGGUUUUGACUAUUGAUUUCAUGAGAUCGAUUUAUUAACUCCUAUUAAUGUCGAGUUUAGUUUAACAUUUUCAACAUUUAUUAAUGUUGAGGUCAUGGUUUAUGGAAUUGGAUCAAUGAUUGAAUCAAUUAAGUCAUUGAUUCCCAAUUUGAUUGUCGAUCUGGUUUUAAUUAAGUAAAUUAUUAAAAAAUUAGAAAACUUAAUUCAAAUGUUGUCUCAACUAGUUUUUUUUUUUUGUCCAAUUAGUUCGUACUGAUUUAUGAGUAAAUCGAUUUUUUCUCUUAUUCCAUAUAAGAGUACUAAUUAGUUCCCAGUUUGAUUGAUCGAUCGAUUCAAUUUUCGACACCUUUAGACGAGUUCCAAAGUCAAACUUGUUAAUUGAAAUUCAUUUUUUUUCGUCCCAAUCUAAAAAAUAAAAAUAAAAAUUUUCAGAACAACAAAAUAAAAGAAGCCUUAAUUUUUAAUUUAUACACAUUUGGUCAUAUCUUUAUAGAUUUUAUUAUUUUCCUUUUUAACGAAACUUGGAAUAAAUUAUAAAAAUCUCAGUCACUACCUUACUUGCUUACUCAUAAUCUCUUCUCCUUUUUAUAUCACCAUUUCUCUCUCUCUCCUUACAGAAGAAAUGUGGGAUCAUCAGUUCCACAAAUCAUGACUUCCUUCUUCAGCCUUAAACUCCAUUUACACUCCACAAUUUUCAUCGUUCUUACUUUUCUUGCAGUUCAAGGUUCCGGCAUAAACGUCGACGGUCUUCUUUUACUGUCUUUCAAAAAAUCCAUUCUCAGCGACCCUUUACAAGCACUACGAAACUGGAACUCCACCGACCAGACACCGUGUUCUUGGACCGGCGUCUUUUGUAGCAACACCAAUGGCAGCGGUGGCGAGGGCGAGUCUCGUGUUACAGCUUUGUCUCUUCCUAGUUCUCAGCUCGUCGGUUCGAUACCGUCAGAUCUGGGUUCCAUUCAACACCUCGAAAGCCUUGAUUUGUCCAACAAUUCACUUAAUGGGUCGGUUUUAGAAUCGGUUUUCAAUGCGACCGAGCUUCGGUUUCUUGAUUUGUCGAAUAAUUUGAUGUCCGGUGUGAUGCCGGAAACUAUCGGACGGUUGCAAAGUUUGCGGUUUCUUAACCUUUCCGACAAUGAGUUAGGUGGGACUUUGCCUAAAACUCUUACUACUAUCCAGAAUCUAACUGUUGUUUCUUUGAAGAACAAUUAUUUUUCUGGUGAUCUUCCGGCAGGGUUUCGAUCUCUUCAAGUUUUAGACCUUUCUUCGAAUCUUAUCGAUGGUUCUUUGCCUAAGAAUUUCGGCGGUGACAGUUUAACGUACUUGAACGUGUCUUACAACAGGCUUUCCGGGAAAAUUCCGUCGCAAUUCGCCGAGAAAAUCCCUACCAAUGCCACCAUCGAUCUUUCCUUCAACAAUCUCACCGGAGAAAUCCCGGAUUCCGACGUGUUUAACAACCAAGAACCCAAAUCUUUCUCCGGGAAUCCUCAUCUAUGCGGCGAAAUAACCGGCCGUAGCUGUCCUAUAACUUCUUCACCGUCAUCUUCUCCUCCGGCGAUCGCAGCUUUUCCGAAAACAACAGAGUUCGCCGACACUCCUGGUCCGUCACCCGUCGGUGAAAAACCACGACGAAACAGGCUUAAACCAGGAACCAUAGUAGCAAUCAUCAUCGGAGACACAGCAGGGAUUGGAUUUUUCCUCAUGGUUUUCUUCAUCAUCCACAAAUUAAAGAACAAAAGAAGAGUUGAAACCACCACAGUAACACAAACAGCUAACGACACAGUCAACGACAACUGGUCAACGACAUCAUCGUCGUCGGAAUCCAGAGGGUUUACAAGAUGGUCGUGUUUGAGGAACACAAAAGAAGAGUACGAUGAAGAAUCUGAAACCCCUUCUGAAGAAGAUCAAAGUCAAGCUAGUCAACGGCAAGGAAUGCAUGAACAUGAUAAAAAAGGUACAUUAGUGACCGUGGAUGGCGAAAACCAGCUCGAACUCGAAACUUUACUUAAAGCGUCAGCUUACAUUUUAGGUGCCACGGGGUCGAGUAUUAUGUACAAGGCGGUGCUCGAAGACGGGACUUGUUUAGCGGUUCGAAGGAUCGGGGAGAAUAGUGUGGUUCGAUUUAAAGACUUUGACACUCAAGUUCGAGUUAUCGCCAAAAUGGUGCACCCUAAUUUGGUCAAGAUUCGUGGGUUCUAUUGGGGAGUCGAUGAAAAGCUUGUUAUUUACGAUUUCGUCCCAAAUGGCAGCCUCGCCAACUCGCGUUACAGUAAGUUACUCCGUUCCGUUUUAUAAUUUAUAUUAAUUAAUUUUCAUUACAAUUUAUAUUAUUAUUUUUUUUUAAAAAAAUUGACCCAUUUUUUCAGUAAUAUCGUUACAAAAUUCGAACCCGACUCCUAAGAAAUUAACGUGACAUUUGUUUUACCCAUUCGUUGCUUUCUCUUUUUUCAAUUUUCUCACAUUUUCCAAGGGAAACAUAUGCGCACGAUAGCACAACUAAAGUGUAUUUGCUAAAUUGCGCACGAUUACUCGAGCCGUGACGGUGGAGUAGUUGAAAAACUGAGCAUUGUUGUUUAAUGCAUGGGAAAGUCAAACUAAAGUGUCAAUAUCCAAUUGGUAUAAAGUAAUUUUUAAUCCCUGAAUUUCAUCAUUUUUUCAAUUUGAUCCUUAAAUUUUUUGUCCAUAUCAGUUUUGAAAUUUGGCCCUAAUCUUAAAUUACUUUUAUGUAUGAUAAUUUUCAUAUAAAAUCUAAAACAAAAAAACAAAAAAGUUACGUAUUUUUGGGAAAAAUUUCAAUUGACUGGCAUAAGUUUUAGGUGAAAACUAUUUUUUACGAUAAUUUUAUUUUAAACAUUUUAAAUGUUUUUCUUACAAUCAUUCUUUUUUUUUUCAGGAAAAGUUGGCUCGUCACCUUGUCAUCUUCCAUGGGAGGCUCGGCUAAAGAUAGCCAAAGGUGUUGCACGAGGGCUAGCUUAUCUCCAUGACAAGAAACACGUACAUGCCAAUUUGAAGCCGAGCAAUAUCUUGUUAGGCCCCGACAUGGAACCGAAGAUCGGAGACUUCGGUCUCGAAAGGCUUGUAACAUGCGACACAAGUACCAAAGUCGGGGUCUCGGCUCGAAACUUCGGUAGCAAAAGGUCGACGGCAUCGAGAGACAGCUUCCAAGACCUAACUGGACCAAGUCCGAGUCCAAGCCCAAGCUCAUUCGGAUUAUCACCGUACCGAGCCCCUGAAUCUCUCAGGAGCCUCAAGCCUAACCCCAAGUGGGACGUUUACGCGUUUGGUGUCAUUCUGCUAGAGCUUCUAACGGGGAAAGUCAUAGUCGUGGACGAGUCGGGUCAAGGGAAUGGGAUCGUGAUCGAAGAUAAAAUCAAGGCGUUGAGGAUGGCCGAUGCGCCGAUCCGGGGCGAAUUAGAAGGCAAAGAAGAGGGAUUGUUGGCUUGUUUUACGUUGGGGUACAAUUGUGCUUCUCCAGUACCACAAAAGAGACCUUCAAUGAAAGAAGCCGUACAAAUUCUUGAUAAAAUCCCUUCUUCAACUUCAUUUUCACAACACUAUUUUGGAUACUGAUUUGAAAAAAAAAAAGUCAACACAAAAUUGGAGAUUACAUUUGUAGACAACAGUGUAUGUAAUGAUUGAUGAUUGACUUAUAGGGUUUUCAUUUUUAAUUUUUUCAUUUUAACUUUUUUUGUUUCAAAGUUUGUGUUUAGUUGGAAAUUGCAUAACAUCAUGUGUUGAACCUUUCUCCAUGUGGCACUAAUAUUUAUUGCUAACUUUAAGAUCAAAUCCUUCUUGUUAUUCGGUUAAAUUUUGUACACAUAUUAUGUCUACAAUUGUAUAUUUAAUUUAUAUUCUAUAAUUUAAUCAUUCUAAGUUACUAUAUUUUUCAAAUUUUAAAAUUUCAGUCUUAAUAUAAAUUACAGUUAUUAAUCCAUUAAUUAAAUUUUUAGCGAAUGAUAUGUGUUAUGUGAUGACAAACUGACAUGACAUUACACAUAUGAUAAUAUGUUUGCUGCAUUAAAAUUUAAAAAUAGUAGAACUUAGUGAAUUUAAUAGUCAUUGUUUGGUGAAGAAUGAAAUUUUAAAAUUUAAAAAGUGCAAUGACUAAAAAUAACCCAAUUAAAAGAUAUAGAUUAAAUCUAUAAUUUUAAUAAAGCACAAGAAUUAAUAGUAAAUUUGAACCUUAGGUUUUUGACCUAACUUUUCUAAUUGGUUAAACUUAGUCCUUAUAUUUUUUUUGAAAUUUUAAUUUCCGAUCUUGGCCUAAAAUAAUAGUUAAAUUCAUUUGAUUAUAUUUUACUAUUUGUCUUGAUCAUUUGGUUAAAUUCUAUGAUAUGGGGUAAUUAGUAAUAAAGGUUAGUUGCUAUUGUAUUUUUGUUAAUUUCAGUAUUGUAACCAAACGCAGCGUUUUACAUUAGCAUUUUAAUGAAAACGGUGCGUGUAAGGGGGGAUUAGAUCAGUGCUUAAAAUAGGGAGUUUAGGGCAAGUUUUGAGGAUUAUUUCUGUUAUUGCUAGGUUGUUAAUUUUUGUCCGUUACCCACCCUUUUAUUGACCAAUCAGAAAGAGGUGAGGCAGUUAUGAAAAUACUCAUGGUUUUCUACUUCACUCUUGCUCUUUGAAAUCUCGUUUUUCUUUCUCUCUGUUUCUCUUCACAUUCUUUCAUUUUUCCUACUUAAAUAUUCUUCCAUCGUCAUUCUACUAUUAGUUUUCUACCAUGUGUGAAGUUAUAAAUUUAGUAUAUAUUUUUCAAUCGUAUCAAUCUUAAUUCUUAUACUUUUUAAAUUUCAAAUUUUUAAAUUUCCAAUGAUAAUCUAUUAGUUGAUUUUCUUACAUUUAAAUAAUACGUGAAAAUAAUAAAUUGACAUAAUAUUAUAUACAUAAUAAUAUGCUUACGCAAUCAAAUUUUGAAAAUAAUAGAAUUUAAUAAAUUUCACAAUUCACGUUUAGCAAGUAUUAAAAUUUUACAUUUCAAAAUUAUAAAAUUAAAACUACCAAAUUAAUGUACCUACAUAUAAUGCAUAAAAAAUUAUUUUUUUUACUACAUAGAUCUAAAUCUAUUUGUUUUAUUUUAUUUCCAAAAUCUUAAAAUAUUUUAUUUCUAAAAAAAUAAAAAAAUAGGCUAGGAUUGAGAUAGUCCGAUCAAUUUGGGCUUUAGCGUGAAUUAAGCAACCCAUGCAUAUUGGGCUUUACCCUUAACCCUUUUCGGAAUCCUUUAAUCCAACGACCUGACUCGAAUGUUAUUAUGAUUGUAAUUGUAAGUAUAUCGAUUGAGUUAGGCUAAAUUAACAAAGUAUAUUACAAUUAUAAUUACAUAUACGAAAAUUUGAUUGUGAUUCAAAUCUAUACACGGAACUUUGAUUAUGAAUAUAAUUAUUCAUAUAGUACCACUUGCAAUUAAAAUUGUGAUAUCUUAAUAUUUGUAUUAACUUAAAUUUAAUAAUUAUAUAUUUUUCACUUAAAAAAAUUUUCAUUUAUUAAAAUUUUAUAUAUAAGCAAUUUAAUAAAAAAUUAAUAUUUAUUUUAUAGUAUUAUAUAUUACUAUAAAUUAAAUUUAAAGAUAUCAAAUUUAGAUUUGGUCUGGUUUUCCAUUUUUAGCCCUUAUGUUUUUUGAAUUGGAAAAGAUCCCGCCCAUUCUCUCAUUUUAAAAACCUUUUCAAACGUCUCUCUCUGUUACACCAAUAGCAGCGUCAUAAAGAAAAAGAAAAAGACAUAGCGCUUCGAUUGUCAUCCUACCUGAAGGAGAAAAGCAAUGGCGACGAACAUCGGAAUGAUGGACGGUGCUUACUUCGUCGGCAGAUCUGAGAUCCUUGCUUGGAUCAACACCACUCUCCAUCUCAAUCUCUCCAAAGUCGAAGAGGUUCUUUUUUUUAAUCAUUAAAUCUUUCUAAUUUCUAAUGUAAAUCAAGAAAAUUUCGAUUUAUUGAUGAUUUUUUUUUGGAUCUGGUUUCUUCAGGCAUGUUCUGGUGCCGUUCACUGUCAGUUGAUGGAUUCGGUUCAUCCAGGGAUGGUGCCGAUGCACAAAGUCAAUUUCGAUGCCAAGAGCGAAUACGAGAUGAUCCAGAAUUACAAAGUGCUUCAAGAUGUCUUUAACAAACUCAAAAUCACCAAGGUCUUUUAUGUUUUGUUUUAAUCUUUUUUGAGGAUUUAUUGUUAUUUUUCUUCUGGUUUUUGAUUUUUUUUUUGUUUUGAAUUCUUUUUUUAAUUGCUUUAG
rnacentral:lncRNA from 1 species